CCACACAACUAUUCUCUUUACUCAGUCUUCUCAGCUGCAACUUCUGCUUCUUCCUUCUUCUCCUCAACUUCUUCCUUAACUUCAUCUUUUGGGGCUCCAACUGCUGGUUCAGCUUCUGGUUCUGCUGCUGGUGCAUCAGCAGACUCGGUUGUCUCUUUCGCCACCUCAGGCUCCUCCUUUGGAGACUCCUCCUUAGUCUCCUCCACAACAGCAGGCUCCUCAGGUGUUUCCUUAGGAGUUUCUUCUUCAGUUUUUUCUACCGCUGCUGGCUCUUCUGUGACGACAACCCCCUUAGUCUGAUCUUCUACCACCUCUGUAGUCUCAACUGCUUCAGUUGGAGUCUCAUCAUUCUUUUGUGCCUCAGGUUCUUCAGUUGUCUCUUCUUCCUUUGGCUUUUCAUCAGCUACUACUUGCUCUGCUGUUGGUGCUUCUACAGUGACUGCAGCCUCUUCUUUUACGGUCUCUGGUGCCUUCGGUUCUUCUAUUUUUUCCUCUGCUGGAAGGGCAGUCUGUGCUGAUACUACCUGAAAAUAUUUAUACCUCAUGCAUCAAGAAAAUUUAUAGUCGUAAAAUGCUAGCCCUAAUAAAAUAUGUUAAUUAAUAAAUGUUUCUUGUUUUAUAUAUAUUUAGAAUUGUUGAACCAAGGAGAUCAGGAGGAGAUCUUCAGUUAGGCUGACAGACCUACAAUAUCAUAUCUCCCCACCAAUGAUUUAUUAAUAAACCCAUCAAAUGCUCUUCAAUAUAUGUCAAACCAUUUUUCUUAUCAGCAAAAGAUUCACAAGACUAAGAGAUAAUACUAGAAAUCAUACAUACAAACAUUUUCACCUACAUGGCAGCACCAAGAAUUCAAGAUCACGAUCAUUAUGAACAUGUUUAUGACUUUCUUUCUUUCUUUCUUUCUUUUUUUUUUUUUUUUUUUAUAGCAGAAUACUCAUAUCUCGAUGAUGUUAUCUGCAUAUGUAUUAUAUAGUUAACAUCAUCAAGAUCAAGAUAAAUGUAUAUAUACAUAAAUGGAUGUUUUGCUAUGUAUGCUAGCUAUACGUUAAACCAAGAACCUUAUGAAAAUCUUAACAAGAAAUUGAUGGAUUACCUCAACAGUUGCCAUUGGAGCUCAAGAAAAUUGUAAAAGAAGGCUAAAGAUGAAUAAACUGAGAAGCGAAGAAGGGAGUAACUAAAGGAAAUAGAGUAUGAGAAAGAGAUAGGCUUUGAGUAUUUGAUGCAGAGAUGAUGAAUGAGAGUGGCUUAUAUAGAAAGAGAUGUAGGGGCCAGAACUUUGAAGAGAGUGGGGAGCAUUACUUGAGGAAUCUUGAGAUUUGACACCUCAUCUCACUGAAUUCAAAGAGAAUUGCCAAAUGUUAGUAAUAAUGUUAAGAGAAAAUUACAAAACAGCAUGCAUUUCUUUGGCAUUUUUUCCACUUUAAAUACGUUAUAUUUUGCUUAAUGAAAUUUAUAUACAUAAUUUUACUCAGUAAAAUUAAACAUAUUAAGUUGAUUUUUAUUAACAUAAUAUAUUUAUUUCUUUAUUAUUAUUAAAUAUUUCACUAUUAAAGUGGCAUUGAUGCGGUAUACUUUUUUUCUUGUGCAGUAUCAAUCAAUACACUAAUUUAACAAUCUCAUAGUAAUAUAUACUAUUUUUACUAUUACAGUAAACUACAGUGAUUUAGUAAAAAAGAAAUAACAUACAAAAGAUUAAAAUUAAUCAAACCAUAAACAUGUUCUCCUUUUCUUUUUACUUUCCCCUAAUGUUAAACAAGAUGCUGUACAUCACUAUUAUUAUUAUUUUUUCUUUUUCAUUUGAACAAUGAUGACUCUUUGGCUUAGUGUUUAUGCUGACCACUCAAUUGAUACACAUACAUAUAUAAAUUGAAAAUAAUCACUUCUUAAUAUUAAUCAAAUCAAUAAAAAGAAAUUUACAAAAGAAAAAAGAAAAAUGGGUGUAAAGAUUUUGGAGUAACCUAGUAUUAGUUGUUGUAAAUACUAAUUUCCAUUCUCCUUCUGAUUACCAGAGUUCAAUUAUUAACUCCCCAGACAAAAGAAAAGAAGAUUAAAAGUUACUUAAUUGUUGUAGCAGGCAUUUGAUUGGGUAGAGAGUAAUGAUAAUGGAGGCCAUUUUCAGCUAAGCCAUUAUCUUGGUUUUGGUUUUGUGUGCAUAUGUGCUUUGUGCAGUCGGGUCAUUCAGUUGAUCUUUGAUUAAUUGUUUUAAGGCACCUGUCAACUUCUCAUUCUUUUGUUUCAAUUUGAUUUUAAUCUAUCAAAAUUCCUUUUUUACUGUGCCCANNNUAUUUCUUUUUCACAUUUUAUUGUUUUUGUGUUCUCUGACGAUUCCGAUCUUUACUUAUGCAUAUAAAACAACUUAAUUUCUAAAUAUUAAUGAUUACUAAAAGUAAAAAUGAAAUUUGACGAGAUAACCAUAAGAGAGAAGGCAUUCUGUUCUACCUGAAAUUAUUGAAAUAUCUCAUUUUAUUAAGAAAAACAAAACAAAAUAUCUCUCGUUCCAUUUCGGCUAAAAUCUCGCCAUUUCGGACUAGAACAAUCGAGAUUAGAUCGAAAUAGCCAUUUCAGCCGAAACUAAUGAGAUAGGGCGAAAUGAGAUAACUUUAUUCAAAAAUUAUAUUAUUGAAUUGAAUUAAAUAGAUCAAUAACACUUAACUCCAACUCAAUAAAAUCUAUUUUUCUCUCUAUUAAUAAAAAUGAAUUAAAUCUAAAAUUUUGUAUAAUAAUCUCUUUAGUUUUGUCCAUCACUUUAUCUUGUGCUCUAUAGUUUAACUAUAUAUUCUUUUUACUAAUUUAUUAAAAUAUUUCUAUGAUUUAAUCUUAUAUUAUAUAGUAAUAACAACUCAAGUUUUAUGUAAAAUUAUAAAUUUCAUUCCAACCGUCAUUUUGGAUUUUAUCAUUGGGAUGAAUAUUUCGGUACCGAAAUAUUUCGAACUGUUCCGAAUUAUAUAUAUAAACUAUUAAAAUAAAACACUAUAAAAUUAUUAUCCAUAAUCUAAUUAAAUAGCAUCUUAGAAAACAACAAGCAAAUAUAAACUCAAUUUUUCAUUCUAAUGAUAAAAUUCAAAAUGACGGUCGGAAUGAAAUUUAUAAUUUUACACAGAAAUCCUAUUCUUAUUAGCAGUGAGAUCUACUAAGAUAGAAUUCUCAUAAAUGAUCACUAAUCCUCCCAAAACUGCAAUCUAUACUGGAAAUUGAAAUGAACAAUGACAUUUUACCUAUGAGCAAAGAGAGUAAAAGCACAAAAGAUGGCCAAAAUAAACAAAGCAAUCCAUGUUAGGCAGCAGAGGGGAGAACAAUCACAAAGUAGCAGCAGUAGUAAGAGAGGAAUUUGGGUAAGGGACCCACAUCACCAAUGUGUAUGAUUUACUUGUAGGAAACGAAUAGGAUUCAGACGUGGCACUUUACAAUGGUCCACGCCCUCAUGCCGCCUCCUAUAAGGAGUCACCUUUAAUUUAAUAAUCAAAAGAUAGCUCCACGGAUAUUGACAUUAGUGAAUUCCUUACUCAUUUGCUGAGCUGGAAGACUGUCAUCUCUCUUGUUCCUUAGCCAUUGUCAUGUGUCAUGCUUGUCUAGUUUAAUAGUUCAAUUUUCUUUUUGAUUAUUUUUUUAAUAUUAGUGCAAAAAGAGAUUAGAAAUUACCCUAAGUUGUCAAGAAUUCACUUGAUAGGAGAGUGAGUAAAAUAAUUUUAAAAAAUCAUAUAGAUAAAAUUAAAAUAAAAAAAUAUAAAAAUUAAUUACGUGGUUAAUUUUUUAACGUAAAAAGUACUGUAAUUUUUUUGUAAAACUUUAAUACCAUACAAUUUAUAUUUAAAUGUAUUAAUAUUAUUUAUAAUUCUAGAAAUUGAAUUUCAAAGGUCGCUAUAAAAUCGGUCUUAUCAAAUAGAUAAUAAAGUAUGAAGUUCUUUUUCUCUUUUCUUUUUAAAUUCUAUUAUAAUUAACAUGACUAGUAUUAGAUGAAAACUAAAUUGGUAAAAAGUGGAAUGAUAGUGGAAUCAGAAAUUAUUAACAUUUUAAUUCUUAUGAUAUUGAAAUAUUAAAAAAACACUACAAAUCCAUGAUCUUAUAAAAAUUCAGUAAACUUUAAAUAAACUUAUUCAUUAAGUGUCAACAUUCUUUUUUUUUUUUAAUUUCUUUUAUCAAAAAGAAAUAGAAUCAAUAAAUAUAGGAUUAAGAUAGUAUUAUAGUGUGAAGGAUAUUUCUGAACAUAAGAGUGUGUUUGUCGACUCUAAAACAUAGCAUAUGGCAUGUCAUGUGUGUCAUGAAAAGCAUUAUGGGCAACGUUAGAAUAAAAUUCAUUAUUAAAUUUCUAACAUUUUCAGUUUUAUUUUAUUAAAUUCUUAAACUUUAUUUUAUUUUAUUGAAAUUUUAUAUACAUAUUUUUCAAGUUAUUUUCUCAGGUGUUAUCUUUUUAUCUUUUGAUAUCAUUAAAAACCAUUGAACUCUUAAAUAAAAUAAAUCUAAAAAAUUUUCUUAAAAAAAAAACAAAGAAAAAUUGAAAAGAUUCAAUAAGAUAAUACAAAAAAUAUAUAAAAGUUUAAUAAUGGUGAGAAACAACUUGACAUUAACAACUAAAGACAAUCAUUUUAGGAGAAUUUUGAGGCAAUAAAAAAUCUUAUAGAUCCCAAAGAUCAACAUGCUACUGCAUAUACACAUAUAUGCUAGUAAUUGAAAACUUCGUACGGUAGCAGGCACCUGCAGUUGACACCUCGAGAUGCGUUUUUGCUUCUUUGCAUGAAUUUGUACUCUUCUUUUCUUUUUUUCUUUACUGUUUGCAAAACCCCGCAUCAUCGUUUUCCAUUUGAUUUCUUCCCUCCGUGCCGUUUCAGUCAUAAAUUUUGCUCGUUACUAUCGGUUUUUACUCUGUAAAGUGGAAUGGCCUUUAGCCCUUUUUCCAGGGUUUAGGUACAGCUUGGGCGGUGGCCUGGCCCACCUGAGUGGACCCCGGUUAUAGUUCCGGACAGCUCUUUGUUCCAAUGGGAUAAUGCCACAUGUAAUCGGAUCACCGACCACGUGGGACGAUGUUGUUUCCAUGUCAUUAUUGGAUGUGAUUGGGUCCUUUUGCUUGAUCAAAAAUAUGUGGGUGUGUGGGGUCCUGAGAUUUUUCUUUUAUAUUAUGGAGGGAGGGAUCGGAAAUAUUGAUGGAUGAGUGGAAUUUAGAGGCAAAAACCAAUUUUGAUGAGAAAAAGGGUCGUAGCUUUUGGAAGUUAAUGGUUCAUUUUGUUCAAAUCCAUUGAUGAUUGUUAGCAACUAUAUAUACUGAUGACGCAAUGGUCUAGCUGGCUAGUUGGUGAAGUCAUUUCCAUCUGCUUGUUUCAUCUCAUUUUAAUUCUUUCUUUUCAGAUCGCAUCUAACCAAGUGUGAUGUCUAAAUAUAAGACUCUAGUGCAUUCAUGUUGCAUAGAUUGAGAAAUUUGCGUAGCAAAUUAACAUCCUAUUUCAAAAUUCUUUUAGUGUGUAACUUUGUAAAUUAUUAAAAAUUAAUUCUUCUGUGACUAUUAUUAUUAUUUUAAUUAUAAAAUUAAAUUGAUAUAUAUAAUUUAAUAAAUUUUUAAUAUUUAAUAUUAAUUUAUAAUAUUUUCAGAAAAUAGUAAAAUAACUAUUUUUAAAUAUUUUUAUUUUUUAAAAAUUUUAAAAUUUUACUAGUGUAAUAAUAUAAAAAUUAUUUUAAAAAUAUUAAUUAAUUAUUUUAGUAUUAUAUAACUUAAUAAUAUAAUUGAUAUAACUUAAUAAUAUAAUUGAUAUUACUAUUUUUAAAAUUAAAAAUUUAUUAUAUAAUUAUAAAAUCAAUUUAUUAUUGAAAAUAUUACUUCAGAUAUUAUUUUCUAAAAUUAAAAUUAUUAUCUAAUUAGAAAAUUAAUUUAUUAAUUAAUAUAAUACUAAAAUAUAAUUAAUGUACUAUUUUUUAAGAUAGAAUGAGUAUCUGAUUAGAAAACUAUUUAUUAGUUAAUAUAAUAUUUAAAUUUAAAAAAAAUUAUUUUUUAAGAUUAAAGUAAGUACUUAAUUAGAAAUGUAACUUACUAAUUAAUAAAUUAAUACAAAAAACUAUAAAAUUACAUAUAAAUUUGAAUCCUACGUAUCAAAAAUAGUGGACAUAUCAAAGUAAAAUUCUUACAUUUAAAAAAUUAAGCACACGUGUCAACAAAUUAGACUCAGCGGCAAAAAUUAGGACUAUACUUUAAAACAGAAUAGUGAAGAAAUUUAUCAUUCAAAUUUGUCAUUGCUAUAAAGNNNNNNNNNNNNNNNNNNNNNNNNNNNNNNNNNNNNNNNNNNNNNNNNNNNNNNNNNNNNNNNNNNNNNNNNNNNNNNNNNNNNNNNNNNAUAAAUUUUAUAUAUUAGUUUUAGUUUCAAUUUGGCUCCUUCAUUGAUGAUUUGUAUCCCAUCGGUCAAAGAUAUUCUUAGUAACACAACUUUCAUUUCUUAAAAUGAUCAACUUAAACUAAUUUUGUGAAAUUUUAUAAAUUUAUCCUAUUUUAUUAAGGAUUAUUUAUUCUUUUUUGACUCAGUAAUAUUUUAACUUCAAACUAAAUUAGUUCAUGGAAAUACCCUCUUUUUUUAUUUAUAAAAAUAUUUUUCUCAAUUUAAACACUUACUGAUCUGCACACCAAAAAAUAAAUCAAAACUCUUUAAAAGAAAAAAUAUGACAUGACAAUGAGAUAAUCAUUCUCUAAAAUAUAACGAAUACAAAAGAUAUAUUCUUUUUACAUUUUUUUAUUUUUUUACUUAUUUUUUUAAUAGUUUAAAAGUUAUAGCCUAUCAAUAUAAUUACAUUUUUUUAGUUAAUUGAAAGAUACACUUUAUAUUUAAAGUUCUAAAAUUGUCACUGUGACAUCCUGUAACUAUUAUUUACUUUGAAAUACUUUCUACAAUUCACUAAUUUAUUGAAUCAAAAUUUUAAAUAAAUAUCUUUUCAAAUUAAAAUAUUAAAUUGUAAAGCAAUAAUGACUCAUAUUUUUAGAUUCGUGAAAUACACAAUAGCUUUUAUAAUAACUAAUCAAUUAUUUUUUUUCUUUGUCAUUAUUUAAUUAUUUCUUAUAUAUUAAUUUAUAAAUUAUUUUACACUCAUUUGUCUUCAUAAUUUAAAUUAAAUAAAAAUUACAUUUAUCAUAAAUUGUUAUGAAAUUUUCAUAUUUUUUUAAAAAUAAAAUAUAAUAUAUCUUGAAAUAAUAAAUAUUUUGAAAUAAAAAUAAUUCAAGAUUAAUAUCUUGGUAUAUAUUUUUUUACUUUUCUCUUUGAGAAUUUUCUCUUAAUUAAUUAAAAAAUUAAUUAUAUUAUCUUAUAAUUUCUCAUUAAUUAUUGCUUUACUUUUUGAUGUCUAAUAGCAUUAGAAUCUAUACAUUUCACUUUUUAGUUACAGUCGUAACUUUAAUACUUCUUUUCAUCUUUAAUUGUUUUCUAUAUUAACAAAUACAAGAUAAAUCUAAAUACCAAAAAAUAAUUUUUCGACGAAAAACUAAUUUUUAAUAUUUGAAUCUUCUUCAACACAUAAAUAACAAUUCAAGAAGUUGGAAAAUAUUUUUCUAAUAAAAAACUAAUUUUUGAUAUGUUGAGUCGUUUUUAACAGGUAUAAAAUAGUUAAAGAAAAAAAUUAAAAUCACUUAUAAAAAAUCAACCAAAUAUUGACUAAAUAAUAAUCAAACAUCCACCAAAUAUCAAUAAACUCAUUCAAUUAUAAAAAGAAAAAUCUGAAAUAAAAAAAUAAAAAAUUAUAUCGGAAUCAUAGAUAUUACCUAAAAAAUUAGAAGACUUUAAAACAUAUUAAUAGAAAAAUCAAAAUAAUAUUUUGUUUACAUAAAGUUUGGAAAAACUUAAAACUCUUUCGAGGAGCAAAAUUCUACAAAUUUUAAAAAGAUUUCAAAAUUAAAAUAUUUAUUUCUUUUAAAAUAAAAAGAUACCUAAAAUGAGAGAUAGAAAAAAAAAAGUUAAGACUCAAAAAGAAUUCAAAAAAAUUAAAGAGAAUUCUUCAAAAUUCAGAAAAUUAUAACAUCAAAAAAAUAUGAAUAGAUAUUGAUGGACAAAUAUACAAACUUUGAAAUAAAAGCUUUAAAAUGAAAGCUUUAAACAAAGAAAUAUAACUUACAAGAGUAGUUGAAUACAAGAGGAAGGUAGUUUCUCACUAUCACUCUCUGUUCUCACUAUAUCUCCAAGGACUUGAAAAAUACAAGAGUUUCUUGUGAUUUUUCAGUCUGCAUUCUUCUUUGGUGGCUCCUCUAUUUGUUGAGGUCUUCAGCCUUCAGGCUCAAUAAUUCUUGCUUUGGAUGCUCUUCAUAAUGGAGUGAGGGGCUCCACGUCUUUUGUAGGAAUUGUCUGCCACGCUUCAUCAUUGAGGAAUUUUUUUCUUUUUAAAAAAGUAACGGUGCAGAGUCUUUUGUCUAUUUUCUUUUCUUUUAAAAAGACUUUUUUUUUUUUUGGCAUUACCCAUUGCAGAAUUUUCUUGGGCUGCCAUUUCUGGUUUUCAACCCAAAGGCUUUACAAAGAUAUCAUUUGAUGGGCUUAAAUAUCCCAAAACAGUCAUCUCCAUUUGAGUCACCAUCUAGAUCAAUUGUUGCUGAGCUGGUGCUAGAAGAGGAAGAUGAAGCUUUAGAUUUUCCUUUUGAAGAGGCGGUCUAUGACAACUGUUUGAUCAAUUAUAAAAAAUCUUCUUCUGUUUGAGCCGCUGCUAGCUUUACAAUAAUGAAAGACUUUCGUGCCAGGAAAGUGGUAUGUUCUUUCGGAGGUGGCAAGAAACUAUUUUUCAAAAGAAAACUAUGUACCAUCUUUAGAGAUAAUUUUUCUUGGUGGUUGAAUUUAUCCCACCAUUUAACAUUAAAUCUUCGGGCAAUGAUGAUUUCUCCAUCUGCUGCUUGGUUGAAAUGGAAAUACCAUAUGCAUACCCACGGGAGGAAGAAGUUUGAACAAAAUAGAAGUAAGGGAGGAAAACGUCUUUCUAUUUUGUUGGAUUUAUAGUGAGCUUUGAAUAGAUUAAAUAAAGGGAGAACUUUUGAAAUUAUGGUUUCUGGAACGUUGCCAUAAUAAUUCCACCAUUGUUUUAAACCAACAUGGAUUUUUGAAGUUUGGAUUAUGCUUGUGUCGAAGUAGAAAAGCCAAGAAUGGCUUUGUCCUUCGUUUUGUAAAAGAAAGGUAUUAAACCAGGCUUGUUGGUAAUCCCAAUAGUUGAAAGUUGUAUUUAGGCUUGAAGGGUAGGUGAUUUGGAGGGAGGUUGGAAAAGAUCUUGGCGAAUGUAAAUCCAUUCCCCAAUCUAAAGGGUGAAGGAUUCUUUGGAUGGCGCAUGUGGAAUAUGCUGGGUCUUUGUGGUUUUUAUGCUUUUUAAAGUGUUUGAAUUUUGCAGAACCAGUUACCUAAAAGAUAGACUGGUAGUAAGAUUGGAGUUUUGAUUUAUUCCAGAGUUUAAAGUACCAUCCUGGAGGAAAAACUUUCGAAACUAGUUUUGAAGGGCUUUCUGUACAAAAUCCUUCCUCAAUAGUUAAAAUGCUUUGAAAGUUUUACUUUUCUACAUAUUCAUUGGUUUUGAAAAGUUUUGUUUAAGACAAAACUAUUUCUUGUGAGUUAGGCUUUGAAAUACUUUGAGAGCUCUGAGAUAGAUUUUGAGGAAAAAUUACUAUCUCAGGUUUUGGAAAAGGGAUAGAGAGUAUACCUUUACCUUUGUUUGAAGAGGAGGAUGACUUUGGAGAAAUUUCUGAUUGGACUUCAGCCCUUGGUACUUGCUUUGAAUAUUCUUCGACCAUCUUUAAAAACUUGGAAGUUUGCUGAGCAAGCCACUCCUAAAUUUGGAAUUGCUUUUGGGUCGGGUCUUCUUUGCUUUUGUCUAUUUCUUCCUGGAUGAUCUCAGUCCAGGUUCUGAUAGGCUUUGAAGAGGAGGGUAAAAUCUCUUUUUUCAGGCUUUGAACAACUUUUGUAUUUGCUGUUGGAUUUUCCUCUUUGUCUUUUGCUCUCGAUUUUCUUGGCAUUGUCACUCCUGUUUUUGAAGGAACUCUCUGGUUAAAAAGUCUGGAAUUGAAUUCGAAUAUCCUCUUAUGUAUUCGAUUUCAAAAUAAAAAAUGGAAAGAAUGGCUUGCUAUCUGGCAAAAAUUUGUUUUGAAGCUAUAUUUUGAACAUCUUUUUGCAAUACUUCUUUCGCAGAUUUACAAUCAAUCCUUAAAUGAGAUUUUUUAUUUAAAAGGUCACUUUGAAAUUUUGAAAUGCAUAAUACUAUCGAAAAAAUUUCUUUUUUGAUAGUUGAAUAAUUCUUUUGUGUAUCAUUUCAGUGUGCAGAAGUAAACUGGACGAUGCAUUCUUUGUUGUUUUGAACUUGUUUGAGAAUCUCACCAUAACCUAAAUUUGAUGCAUCAGUUUCAACAAUUUUGAAUACAGAUGGAUCAGCUAGGUGUAAAUAUGGAAUUUCAAAAAUUUAUUUUUUAAUGCUUUGGACAAUCUUUGAUGCUCAUUCGUCCAUGCAGGGGGAUUUUUUUUUAAUCUAUCAUGGCGGGGUUUUGCUAAACAGUUUAAAUUUGGAUAAAAAUUCAUGACAUGAUUUAAACUGCCAAGGGACCUUUGCAAUUGAGUUUUUUCUAAAAUUUUAUUUGGAAAUUUUGAAGUAAAAGCUAUAGACCUUUCAAUUGGAGUGAUAGUUCCCCGGGAGAUGUAGUGUCCAAGAAAUCUCAUUUUCGUUUGGAAUAAAGAUACCUUAGAAUUUGAAACAACUAGACCAUUUUUCUUAACAACAUAGAAAAAUGUCUCCAAAUGUUUUAAAUGUUGCUCUAGAGAAUUUGAAAAGAUUAACACAUCAUCGAUGUAAACAAUGCAAAACUUUGAAUAAGGAUUAAAAAUGUCAUUCAUAAUUUUUUAAAAUUCAGAAGGAGCAUUUUUUAAUCCAAAAGGCAUCACAUUCUAUUCGUACCGGCCAAAUGGAACUGUAAAUGCAGUUUUGUAUCGAUCUUUAGGAUGAAUCUGGAUUUGCCAAAAUCCUGAUUUCAUAUCAAACUUUGAAAAAAUAAAAGCAGAAUGAAGCUUUUGAAGAAGAUCUUUUUUGUUUGCAAUAGGGUAUCUAAUCCACUUUAGAGCUUUAUUCAAAGGUUUGUAGUUAAUCCCCAAUCUUGGAGUUCCUCUUUCUAUUUCACUAUUUUUGUUGACAUAGAAAGCUGCACACGACCAGGGGGAUCUGGAUUUGGUAAUUAAACCCUUUUGUUCUAAAUCUUUUAUUUCUACUCUACAAUGGCUUUCAAGGGUUUCAUUCAUUUGGAUAGGCUUGGCUUUGGUAGGAAUUUGUUUGUCACUAAAAUCUAUUUUAUAUGGUAAAUCCACCAUAUGUUGCUUCCUUUUCCAAAAAGUAUUAGAAAGAUCAGAACAAACUUCUUUUUCGAUUUUCUUUUGCAAAUCGGAAAUUUUUCUUUAGACAAAUUCAUUUUGCAAUUGGUUUUGGAUUCUUUUUAAACUCAUAUCUUAUUUUAGAUGGAAAAGCUGGGUUUGUUUUCCGUUAAUCAAAGCAUUUAUCUCAAAAUUAUAAAUCGAGUGAGCUUUUAUAAGAUUGAGAUUUCUCUUCUUGAGUUUUUCUAAAAAAGGAAAAACAAUCUUUGAAUCUUUAGCUUUAAAAAUGAUACCAGCAGUAGUUACUUUAAAAGGAGUAAUUAAAUUGAUAAAUGGGGUUCCCAAAAUAACAGUUUGUUGUAAAUCCUUUGUAAGAAUAAAAAUAUUUUUUAGAGUAAUAUUAUUGUUUAGAAUUGCAGCUUCAGUUUUUUCCGCAAUUCUGAUCUUUGAAUUAUUAGCAGAGGUGAGUCUUUUUUUUGUUUCUUGAUGAUACCUUUUAGGAACUAGCUAAUAAUUGAUACAGUUGAGGUAUGCUCCUGUAUCAAAUAAAGCUAUAGUUUCUAUUUGGAAAUCACCAGGGAAAAUGAGUUUUAUUUGAAUCAAAUAUUUUCUUGAGGUUAUUUCUUUUAAAAACAUUAAUUGGGAUUUUCUCAGAAACCUCAAGAUUUUGAAAAUCAUUUUCUUCUUCAGAAUCAGAAUCACUAUUUUGUUUAAGAAUCAGACUUUGGAGUAAAACAGAAUCAUUUUGUCGUUUUUCUUUCAAUUCUUUGAGUUCUGUUUUAAUAGUUUUGAUUUCUUUUUGAAGUUCUUGGAUAGUAGGGAGAGGAUUCUUUAACUUUUUUCCGUUUUCUAAGAUCAUAGGUGUUCUUACUAGAAGAAAGGAUGAGAGUUUCAGUUUUUAGAAUGUCUUUCAAAACUUGUUUUUGGAUUUGAUGGUCAUUAAUAUGCUUGACGGCUUCAAGAAGAGCUUCUUGUUGCCUAGUGAGCAUAUUAAUAUUCUUUGGAAUAUCAUCUGAUUCCGAUUCAGAAUAAUCAGAUGAGGUUUUAAUUUCAUCAAUUUGAAACUCUUCCUCAUUAUUCGAAAAUUCUGAUUCAGAGGAAUCAACUAGAAGAGUUGAAAUUUUGCUCAAAAUUUCAUCUUCUAUUUGGAGCUCAUGAAGUUUUUUAGAAAACUUGCAAUACUUUGAAGUAUGUCCCUUUUUCCCACAUUUGUAGCAAGUAAUUUUAUUAAAUUUUUCUUUAAAUUUUGGUUUGAAAAUUUAGAAGAGGAUGGUCUUUUGUAGAAAUUCUCUCUGUUUUUUGGCACUUUUCUAUUUUUGAAAAAACGUUUUUUCUUAAAAGGUUUAGAAAAAUCUUCUUUACAUUUUCCUUUGCAGGUAGGGGAAGGUUCUAUGGGAUUAUACUCAAACUGGUUACAAAAACUACCUAGCUCCUGUCUAGUCUUCUUCAUUUCUCAUUUGAGUUGUCUUUGGAGUUUAGAACAACACAUAUAAAGUUUAGCUUAUUAAUGUUUAGGCCAUUUUUAGAAUUUUGAAAGUUUGAGAUAUUAUUUGUUUUAGAGCCAAAUAAUAAUAAUAAGACCUAAUAGUUCAAAAAGAAUUUAACCAAUUUUUUAAAAAUGAUUGAUUUAGCAAUAAUUAGUCAAUUGAAUAUAAAUUUUGAUUGCGCUGUUGGGCUACUGUUAUUUAGCCAAACUGUAGUAUUUCUUAGACCGAUCACAAUUCGAAUAACACAUGAUCAUCUAUAUGUCUUCAAUUGAACUAAUUUUUACAAUAGAGGUUGCUUUCAUAACAUAUUAUUUUAAUUAUUUCAAUAAAAAUUACUAAAUAUAUUGUAUAAAUCAUAGAUCUCUAAAUUUUUAUUUUAGUAUCUGUAUACUUGUUCUAAAGUGUUCUAAAGUGCACCUAUCUUAUAUUCAUCACAAAGCCGACUUGAAACAACUCUCAUUGUAAAUUUUUUCUUUAAGGUUUUACGCCUUCUCCGUAUAGUUGUGUAUUUACUCUUCUCCUUUUACUCUUUCUCCUCCUCUUACUUUCAGCUUCCCUACCUCUCUUUUCUUAUCUUUUUCUUUCCUUGACUCACUCUUUCCNNNNNNNNNNNNNNNNNNNNNNNNNNNNNNNNNNNNNNNNNNNNNNNNNNNNNNNNNNNNNNNNNNNNNNNNNNNNNNNNNNNNNNNNNNNNNNNNNNNNNNNNNNNNNNNNNNNNNNNNNNNNNNNNNNNNNNNNNNNNNNNNNNNNNNNNNNNNNNNNNNNNNNNNNNNNNNNNNNNNNNNNNNNNNNNNNNNNNNNNNNNNNNNNNNNNNNNNNNNNNNNNNNNNNNNNNNNNNNNNNNNNNNNNNNNNNNNNNNNNNNNNNNNNNNNNNNNNNNNNNNNNNNNNNNNNNNNNNNNNNNNNNNNNNNNNNNNNNNNNNNNNNNNNNNNNNNNNNNNNNNNNNNNNNNNNNNNNNNNNNNNNNNNNNNNNNNNNNNNNNNNNNNNNNNNNNNNNNNNNNNNNNNNNNNNNNNNNNNNNNNNNNNNNNNNNNNNNNNNNNNNNNNNNNNNNNNNNNNNNNNNNNNNNNNNNNNNNNNNNNNNNNNNNNNNNNNNNNNNNNNNNNNNNNNNNNNNNNNNNNNNNNNNNNNNNNNNNNNNNNNNNNNNNNNNNNNNNNNNNNNNNNNNNNNNNNNNNNNNNNNNNNNNNNNNUUUAUAGGUCUAAUGGAAGUUGAUAGUCGAAGCUUACAAGGCAGGUCCUUCCUCCAUAUUAAGGUUAAGCUGGGAGAUUGAGAAGCCCUUUCUUCUAUGCUUUCAUAGUCAUAGAGAUAGGAAGAAAGUUUUUUGGGCUCCUUUAAAAUAUGAACGUCUGCCUGUCUUUUGCUUCAAAUUCAGUAGAUCAAACAUAUCUCUCAUUAUCGUAAGUUUGAAGAUACAAACCAGGAAGUGGAGAACAAAUAAAAGGGUGGCACCAAAUUUCGUUUUGGAUUGUGGUUGAAAGGUAUAACUCAUCAAAUGGAUAAAAGCUUGAAUGUUGGAAGCUUUGGCAAUAAUGCUAAACAAAUAAGUCCUAAUCUUGAAAUAAUGAUAUCGAAAGACAAAGAUGGUAUGCUGAUUCUAGCUGGCAAAGCUGAAGCCAUCCACCUUCUUUCUAAGGAUGAACUCAAUGUAAGAAUGGUAAUAGGAUGAGUCGGGGCAGGUUUGGCCUUUCCCAUCACACCCCGUCAAGGACUGGGGCAGGUGUGGGAUAGGAUUUUUUUCAAAGUGGGGUCAGAUCGAGCUUGGGUGAUACCCACUAUAUUUAUUUUAUAUAUUCUUAUAUUAAAAAUAUACCUUAUUAAUUGUUUAAAUAUAUUUAUUUCAUAUUGUAAUUGUUAUUAAGUACAAUUGAAGGAAUAAAGUCUUGAUUUAACAAUAUUUUUUAUAUUUUUUAACAAUUAUACUUAUUUACUUAUAUUUUAUAAAUAGAAUAGUACACACAUAUAUAUAUUUUGGAUAUAGUUUAGGGUGGAGUGGCUUAAACUUGUCCUGUUCCCGCCCUGCCAUUAGUAGCUCGGUGGGCAUUCCCCUUCCUAUUUAAGUCGGGUUAUGAAUUUACUAACAGUUAUGAGGCAAAAUUGCCAUCUCCAACUCCACGCAUCGUUGUAUAAUGAUAGAAGGAGCACUCAAGGCAAAGAAGCUGUGGGUAUUAAUUGUCUUACUACUUUUGUGCAGAUUUCAAGUAAAAGUGAGCCAGUGGUGCAGCAAUGAGAUAAGAUAAUCAUCAACUCUAACAACCUUUUCGGCAAACAUGGUAUGGACAAAAAUACUUUUUGAAUCUUAAUAAUAUCAUAACCCUUUCUACCUAUAUACCUUACUACACUAUUGUACAAUGAUCAAGAACCUCAUUCCAUCCCUUUAAUUAAUACUAGCUCUACCUGUUCAUUACAAAGUUAAAAUCAAAACUCAACUCUUGAACAAGACAAAGAAAAAAGCCUAACCUUCUCCAAUGUAAACCAACCUUGCUAGACUAAUAUUAUCUAAAAUAUAAGCCCAAACUCUUUGGAAGAAGACCACCAACCACAUUCUCUUACCCAGCCCAUGAAAUAAGAAAGAGAGACCAAAUUAAAACCUACAAACCUGAAUAUUGAUUCCUUUGAUGAGCCGUCAAAAAAGAGAAACCCAAAACCUUGGAUGGAUGAAGUCUUAAGCUAAGAAAAUAGAUCGCUUAAAAAAUCAAAAUCCCUCCAUCACAUUCAAUCUGACCCAAAUAAUAAUAAUCUUCUCAUCAUAAAUCUUAGAAUCCUUCAUGAAAUCUUUACCCCUAAUGAGAUCUAAGCUUUAGCCUCUAUUUCAUAUAUUGAACAUCUUAUUGGUCCCUCGAACCCAUCUCUAAACUUAUCAAACCUAACCCCAUGUGACCCAAAAACCUUAAUCAAUAAUCUCAGCCCACACCAACAUCUUGCCCAUAGAGUAAGUUAAUGGAAAAUAUGAGCUCAUGACCAUACUGUGGAAAGACCAACUAUUGUUAUUGAAGAAUUGUCUUAGGAAUAUGAUGCCAUAACUAGAUCGAGAUAAAAUCUUCUAAAAAUUUAGCAAACUUCUUCAUUCUAAUAUGUAGAUCAAUAGGCAACAGUGACUGGCCAAUAGUCACAAUAUUCACAAUAAAGGCUUUACUAUGGAACUCUCAAGGUUUAAGGUGGCCCUUAACUGUUCGAACUUAUGAUUUUGGUGCCUUAAAUAUUGGUCAAUUGUAGUCUUCUUAAUGGAAACUAAAAAUAAGAUAGAUUUUAUGGAUGUUUAAAGGGUCAAGUUAAGAUUCCAUUCUGCUCACUAUGUGGACCCAAAGGUAUUUUUAGUGAUUUGGCUCUGUAGUGGGGUGAUGUUUUAUUUUAAUUGUUAAAUCUAACCUUAGGAAUUUUAUUUUUGCGCUUUAUAAUUCUACAAAAGAGGGGGUUUGAUAAGCCACCUUUCUAUAUAGUGCCCCUGAUCAUGCCAAUUGUGCCCAGGUCCUAGAUUGUGUUGCUUAUUUAUGUUCAGAUGAUUAUGUGCCUUAGAUAUGUGCUGGUAACUUCAAUGUAGUUGUAGGAAUAAAUGAUAAGUGGGGUGGUAGUCAGGUUGCUAUGUCCCAGGUUAAUUUAUUCCAAGAUUUAAUGGAUAAGGGGAAUUUGGUUAAUCUGGAUUACGAAGGCCCUCUUUCUCCUGGCACAGUAGAAGAGUCGGUGACGAUUUGGUUUGGGAAAGAAUUGACAAGGCAAUGGCCAACUUGACUUAACAUAGCUUAUUCUUGAAAUCUCUUGUUAUUAAUGAAGCCCUUGUGGGAUUUAAUCAUCAUCCCAUAAUUAUGGACCUGUACCAUAAGUUAAAAUUUCGAUAGAAAUUGAUUCGUUUUGAGAGUAAAUAGUUGGUUAAGGAAGAAUGAAGUGGAAUUAUUGAGGAAGCCUGAAAUAUUGAUUCAAGGGGUUCUAAUAUGUUCAAGCUUUUCCAAAAGUAAAAAAGUUGUAAACUCAUUUCGCAAGGAUGGGAUAAACAAGAGAUUUCAAGGAAAAAACUAACCCUCCCAAUAGUUGAAGACCAUGCUCAAUUCAAUCCAUAACCAAACAUUAACUUAAUAAAGUAAAAUAGAGGAAGCUAAUAUGUUGAAUAGGUUAGAUGAAAUGCAAGAAAUCAAUGAAAUCCAUCGGAAGUAGCAAUCUCAUAUUUAGUGGUUAAAGGAGGGGGACUUCAACACAAUUUCUUUUCAUUUAACUGUUAUUUAGAGAAAUCAGUAGAAUCAAGUCAUUCAUUUAAAGAAUGAAAGAGGUGACUGUUGAGAAGAGAAGGAAAUUGGUAAUCAUAUUCUCACUUUUUUUGAAAGUUGUAUCACUUAUAAAGUAUUCAAGGGGUUGAUGAAGUUGUUAACGUGGUUAAAAGGGUUGUAACUGCAGAAAUAAAUGCCUCUUUAUGUAUUGAAAUCAUAAUUCAUGACUUUAAGAAAGCUCCUUUUGAUUUGGGGGGGCUUAUAAAAGCCCAACGCCUGACGAUUUUGUUGGAAUUUUUUACCAAUCCCAAUGGGAAAGAAUUGGUGUGGAUGUCUGUGUAGCUAUUAGCAACUUUUUUCAUACAAAUCACCUAUUAAGAGAAAUAAAUUGAACCUUCAUCGUUAGUAUUUCCAAGACUAAGUACCCUACAACCAUUACCCAAUUUUGCCCUACUAACCUCACUAAGUUCAGUUAUAAAAUCAUCACCUCUGUCAUAGUUAAUAGGCUUAAGUCUCUUAUGGAUUCUCUUAUAGCCCCUAACCAAGCAGCCUCUAUCCUUAAUAGAACUGUUCAAGAUAAUAUUAUCAUAACACACAAGGUGUUUCACUUUCUGACUGGGGGAAAUAGGAAAUCGAAUCAGUUUAUGGCCCUUAAGUUGGACAUGUAAAAAGCGUAUGAUCGGGUAGAAUGGGGUUUCUUAGAGAAAGUUUUGCAGUUGGUUGGUUUUCAAGAAUUAUUGGAAUGUGUCAAGACCAUGAAUUUUUCUAUCCUUGUUAACAACAAACCUUCAAAGUCCUUUUAACCAACAAGAGGUUUGAGGCAAGGUGAUCUAUAUCACCUUACCUCUUUCUCUUUGUUACUGAAGCUCUUUCGGGAUCCUAAAUUAAGCUAAGUUGGCUGAUAGGCUUAGAGGUUUGGAGCUUAAUAAGCAUUUUUUUGAAGCUAACUAGCUUUUUAUUUGUAGAUGACAUGAUAUUGUAUGUUAGAACUUCCAUUGAUUAGGCUAGUAUAAUAAAAAAGGUCCUAUAUAAAUAUAGUCUAGCAUAUGGACAAAAAGUUAAUACUAGCAAAUCAAUAACUGUAUUAAGUAAUGGAACUCCUUAUGAGCUAAAGAAGAAUAUUAUGGAGUUAUUGAAUAUGGGGUAACUGAAUAGUGAUGAUCAAUAUUUAGGACUUCGUUUCUUUAGGGGAGAUUGAAGAUUCAAUCUUUGAACUUUCUUCACGAGCGGAUCAGAUAGAAAUGGAAGGGUGGAAAAAGAAUUUUUUGUCGCAAUCAGGGAGAGAAGUGCUCAUAAAUUUGAUUCUUUAUGCUAUUUCAACCUAUACGAUAAGCCUUUUUAAGUUGCCUAAAGAUUUUUGUAAUCAGAUCAAUAGUAUAUUAGCUAAAUUUUGGUGGAUGGGGAUGAUCAUUAUAAAAAAAAUUCAUUGGUGGAAAUGGGAUACUCUUAUAAAGGCUAAAUAGGAAGAGGUCAUGGGCUUUCGAAAAAUUAAGGACUUUAAUAAAAACCUGCUUGUUAAGCAAUGCUGGAUGGUCAUCCAUAAUGAGGAUAAGCUAUGGGUGCAGGUGUUGGAAGAUAGAUACUUCCCCUAUCAGUCCUUUAAUAAUGCAGUUAAGAAUGUUAAUGGUACAUCAUGGAUAUGGAAAAGUCUUAUAGAAGGGCGGAAGGUGUUGGAUUUGGGUCUUAGGCAUAAUAUAUAGAAAAAGGGAGUAGAAUCUAGAAUGAUGCUUCGGUUCCCUCCUAAGGAAACUUCAAGCUGAGGUCGCCUCCACCUAUUAACCCUCAUUUUUUCCUUAUUUCUAAUUUGUUUGAUAGGUCUAAUUGGUGGUGGUAUCUAUGGAAAGUCCAUAUUGUUUGCAGUUAGCAAGAAAUGAAGGAAAUCUUAAGAAUUCCAAUAGCUAUUCAUGCAAAGCCUGACAAAUUUAUUUGGCACUUUACCAAAGAUGGGAUUUACUCUGUAAAGUCAGGUUAUCGAAACAUAAAAAAUCUAUCGAGUACUAAUAUUCCUAUUGAUCCAAGUUUAUUAUCGAUAAUAAAUCCAAUUUAUGGAAAUUUAUUUGGAAUGUUAUUGUGCUGCCUAGAAUCAAGAAUUUCCUUUGGAAAUUGUGACCAACUCCAUUUCCUGUAUGGUUAAUUUGAAAAAGCAUAAGGCAACAACGUCAGACUUAUGUUUGCUCUAUGAGGAAGAGGCCGAGUCAACAGAACAUCUUCUCUUUUUUUACCCCCAUGCUAAGGCAAUAUGGUAUAUAGGUGAUUUUGGGUUUUGAUGUGAUCGGUUUUCCUUAUUUUGUAACCUAGUUGUUUAAUGUUUGCAUCCAUUUUGCCUUGCAAAAAGAUGAGUUCUUUGUGGAGAAGAUCGCUUUGUGUUGCUGGAAUAUUUGAAAGUCAAGAAAUAUAGUUCAUUUUUCAACACCUUAGUCUAGUGCUUUAUAGAACUGCUUUAUGGAUUCACCAUGAGCUGAAGAAAAUUCAAGAUGUAAAGGAUUCUUGCCGUAUGCACUGACAAGCUGCAUCAGAAUAGGCUAGCACACGUUGGCACCCACCUCCAAGUCCAAAAGUCAAGUACAAUUAUGAUGUUGCUUAGAGCAAGGAUCAUGAUGCAUAUGGUAAUGUAGUAGAUGCUACUGUUAUUAAGUUGCAUUGCUCGUCAUUAUAAUUGGUGAAGCACUAGUCCUUAGAGAAGCUGUCUAUUUUGCCAAAGCUAAGGGAUUUACUAAAGUUAAUUUUGAGAGUAUUGCAAAAUGAGUGAUCAAUAGUAUUUUCAAUCCUCAUAAGAGGGAAUGGAGAUCGACUCUAUCAUUUUUUAUAUUUGUAUUAUUCAUUUUUUUUUUUGCUAGCUUCCUUUGGAUCAAUAGGAAAGCUAAUAUGGUAGCGGAUUGGCUGGCUAAGCAUGCAACCCCUUUUGUUCAUCCUUCUGCCUGGAUUUUUGCUUCCUAGAGGAAGUUUGCUUAUAUUUUUAAUUUUGAUUCUAUCUGAGUUGUGCAAUAGACAUUGCAUUUUUAAAAAAAAAUACUAUAUUAUCAAAAAGAUUAGACCGAUUCCUCGAUCAAUUAAUAAAAAUUUCCUACAAUGGGUCGAUCGUCGAACCAGUCUAAAAUCUAAUUUAUUUUUCUUCUCUACAUAAUAAUCUCAAAAACGCUAAAUAGUUAAAAAAAUUUGAUGUUUUGAUUUGAGAAAGGAUUUUUUCUAGCAUCAAACAUCGACUAUAUAAUACAAAAAUAAGCUUAUAGUUUUAUAUCUAAUAUUCGUACAAUCAAAUCCAACAUCAAUACCAUGAUUUCUUCAUCUUUUUUUCCUUAAAAAUGAAAUACUCAUAACUCAACGGGAAAUCAUAUCCAGUAAAAGGAUAUUCCUUAGGUAAUUAGGCAUAAUUAGAAUCCAAGCUAGGUUAUACAAUAAAGAGGAAUUCUUUAACAUCUAAAUCCGCAGCCUUGUUAAUACAUCUAAAAACAUAUUUGAAGGAAUAACUAACAAACCUCGUACCCAGAAGCUUAGGGUCUAUUUACUUCUACAAAAGAAAUUUUAUUUUCAUUUUCUAAUUUUUAAUAAAAAGAAAAACUUGUUAUUUUCAUAAAAGAUUUAUAAAAUAUAUUUACUUACUAUUACAUAAAAAAAAUUAUUUUAUAUUUAGAUAAUAUUUAAGUAUAAAAAAUAAAUUUAGAAUAAAUGAAGUGCAUUUGCCCUUAUGAACCAAGAGGAGAGGUCGAUAUAGAAAACAUUCAAAAACCAAAAUUAGAGACACUCAAUUUAAUUAUCAAGUUCAAAAUUAAAAGUGCCUUUAGUUAUAAAACGACUUAGGCUAACAAAGCGAAAAUUUAUUAUUUUUAUUUGAAAAUAAGUGAUUUCUUAUAUAAAGAAAAACAUAUAAAACAUGUUAAAUUUAUUUUUCAAAAUUUAGUUAUAAUCUUAAAAACAUGAAAAUUAUUUUUUAUUUCUACUUUAGAAAAAUAGUAUAAAUAAACAUAAAAUUAUUUUAUUUUUUAUUUUUAUUUAAUUAAUUUUCAAGUUUAGCUCUAUUUUCUCUUUCUCUCUCUUUUUUUAUCAAAAGUUUUAUUUUUUGACCAAUUCAAUUAUUUUUGGAUCGAUGAUAGUGUUUUUAUUUUUUAUUUUAUAUUAAUUAAUUUAAAAAAUAAAUAUUGGUAUAUUUAUUAAAUAGUUUUAUAAUUCUACAUUAUAGGGGUGUUAAAUUAUCAUUUGAUAGGAGUUUUAUGUUUUUUUGUUAUCGAAGUGUUGAAUUCUUUCUCUAUAAAAGCUGUAAAGAGAAAAAAAAUUUAAUAUGAUAUUCAAGCAAUUAAACUAGUCAAAAAACAUUUAUAAAAUUGAUAGCUUAGUAUCAUCACUGGAGUGUUCUUUCCACAUAAUUGCCAUCUAUUGGCCUGUCAAUUCAAUUAAUUAUUAUUAAGAGUAAAAUUUUUAUAUUUAUUUUUUAAUAUUUAAUAUUUAAUUUUAUUUUUAUAUCAAAAUAUAUUUAUUAAUUUUUAUUAAUAAAAUAUUAAUAUUUCUUCUAAAAGCAUAAGGAAUAACCCGGCAGCUAGGCAACAAGAUGGAAGUAAUAUACUCCACUUAAAUCAUGAACUAAAUAUUGCACAAUAGAACCAGGAGCUUCAUCAAAUCUGUGGCAGCUAAUAUCGAAUCUAUUAGCCAUGAAGGCAAGUCUAUCUGCAGCAUAAUUUUCCCUCUCUGUAAAUAAUGCUUGCAUUAUCCACCUCAAUAAGGAGUUGCCAAAUAUUUAAAUCCCAAGCCAACAACAAACCACUAAUCCAUGUCAGUGUUCGAUUUUCAUCGAAUAAUCCAUCUUCCAGACAGGUCUCGAAUGAGUCUACCAGCCUUAGCCAUGCCUGUACCAGUGUGGGGUGCCCCGUCUGUGUUCAGUUUUAGGCCUAGGGAGCUCCCAUCCAAUGUAAGCCUCUUUGCGAUUCCUAAUGUCUGAAACAGGGCAUAAAUUUUUCAUAGCAGCAGUAACCUCAUUUAAUCUACGUCGAAUAUCUUGAGUGAUACAUCUUCUCUUCGCAUUAGAUUUGCCAAACAAACUAAUAUUUCUCAUACUCCAUAACCUCCACACACGAACACCAAAGGUGAGAGGCCAGUUUUGUAAGGAUGUAACAGUGUUAAGACCAUUCAAAUUAGACAGCAGGCACUCAUUGAGAUCCAUCAUAAAAGAAUUACUAUUUCUAGAAUCAGGGGAUACAAAAUUACAUCAAACCUAGCAUGCAACAUAGCAAUCCCGAAGAAUUGACGUAUUGCUCUAAUACCACCUUUAGUUCUACUUUAAAACCUAGUAUCUCCAUUCCAUUAGAUCACCAAGAAAUAUUAAUUAUAAUAAAUAUCACAUUCAUGCCGUAUGAUUGCCAACUGUUACAGAAUGUCUGCAGUAAUUUUCUAGAUGAUGUGGAUUAUUGUCUUCCUCUCAGUAUUUGUCUCUCUUCUCCAUAGGCUAUAUAAUAUAAAUGGUUAACAAUAGAAUUAUUUAUUUUAAUAAUUAUUAGGAAACAUUUUAACAUUUUCUGCUGGUCAAAGUGCUUUUUACUCUUCUUUCCUUUAAACAAGCAUGCCAGCGUCAGGAGUUCCUCGACGGGAAAGAAAUAUUUCCUCCACACACAGCGGAAAUAGCAGAAUGAGUGGACACAGGGGCAAGGUCACUUUAUAGACAAACGUGACCCUUGGUCCAUUUUCUUUUAAAAAAAAAAAUUACAAUUUAGUAUUAAAUAUAGAAAAAAUGAUUUCAGAUUUAUCUUUUUAUAAUUUAUCCUCCUUAAUUAGGAGUUUUAGCUUUGCCCAUGAAGGGAAGGUCUUUUUUUUUUUUUUUUUUUUGGUUAGAAUGGUUGUGCUAUUGUUAUUAUUAUAGAUGCUAUAUAUAUAUAUAUAUAUGAUUGUUUGGAACAUGCUUAAUGACUUGAUCUUUCAGCUUUCUAAUUGUAAGGAUCUUUCAUUUUCUAAUUGUAAAGACAAAUAUAUAGUUGGACUCUCGAAGUAAGAAUAUUUGAUUAUUUUAAUAUUUUAAUUUUUGAUUAAUAUGAUGAAUUUUUUAAUUUAGAUUUUUUGUAAUAUUUAGAUAGUUUUGGAUAUGUGAUUUUAUUCAACACGUCCUCAUAUAUUAUGUAUAGGUGUUUUAAAAUUAUUUUAAAAAACUUUAUACGUGUUAAAUUAAAUUAAAAUUAAAAUUAUUUAAUAGGGCUUUAAGUGUUUAUUAGACUAAAUUGAAAAUUAAAAUAUUAAAGUGACUAAAUGAUUAAAAUUUAGAUAUCUAAAUAUGUAUUGCGUCUAAUUGUAACUUAUUAAAAUAUGGCUAAAUAUAUAUUUAUACUCCUGAACUUGUAUCGAUUAGUUAACUUAAUAUUUUAAUUUUCGAUUUAAUCUAACAAACACUUAAAUUUUAUUUUUUUAAAAUCUAAAUACCUAUAACUUUUAAUUUAAUUUAACAUGCACGUGAAUUUUAUUUUUUAAUAAUAUUUAAACACAUUUAUACAAUACAUAUGAAUGUAUUGAACAAAGACAUAUAUCGAAAAGUAUUAAAUAUCACAAAAAAAUAAGUUCAAAUAUCUGUUAGAUUAAAUCAUAAGUCAAAAGUUAAAAUAAUUAAAUGACCAAAAUUCAGAUAGAUAAAUAUUUAUUCAGUCUUAAAAUAUUUAUUUUGAUAAUAGUUUAAAAAAUUACCCAAACAAUCAUAAAAAUAUAUAAUAUAAAUAAUUUCUACAUAAAGCUUUCAAAUUUUAAAACCUCCGGAGAUGUUUGACAAGACCUUAUUUAUAUGGACUACUUAAUUCUUGCAUGGCCAUGAUUAAAAAUAGGGCAAAUGUGCAUUUUUAUCCUUAAUAUUUGGUGCGAGGAACAUUACCUUUAAAAUAUUUUGAGGCGCAAUUAGACCCUUAUACUAUCCAAAAUCUGACGUGGUAAUUAUUUUUACCAAAAAAAAAGAACCCAACUGCUACAUGUCAAUACCCAUGUGGCUAAUAUUGUCAAUAUAAAAUCAGUAAUUUCUAUUAACAAAAAAAUUAUAAUUACAUUUUUAAUCUUCACCACCGCCAUUGCCACUACCACCGCUACCGUCUCUCCACCAUCUACAACAAACAGAGCUUUUUUUCACUUCACCACCUUCAAUGGCAAACCAAAACUCAAUCUUUUCCAAUAAAACCGAAAUUAAAACCCAAGUGGAGAUAAAAUUCUCCAGAAUCCAAUUAUUGGCCUUCCUUUAAACCCAUUUAAAUUUCUUAGCCAAAAAUUCUAUCAACGCAGCUAACACCCAUCUUACACGAAUCAGACAUUAGAGAUAUAGGUUUAUUUUGUUUUGUAUGAAAAUCAAAAACCCUAGCAUUAGAUCCAAACAAUAUAAAAACUAAAAAUUUCUACUUUUUUAAAUCCAAGAACUUAUAAAUAUCUAACCCCAAAAUAACAAAAAAAAAAAAAAAGAAUAGAAACAUGGUCUGGUUUUCUUCUACCAUCAAAGAUUCAAGAGCUUUAAAUCUAUUGAGCAAUAGAAUCAAGCUCAAUUAAUCUAAUAAGAUGUACCUGAUCAUGCACCAUCAAUGACGUUUUAGAUUAUUUAUGAUCAAAAGAAGAAGCUAAGUUUCUUAAUUUACUCGACUAGAAUCCAUCACCUUAGCUAUAAAUAUCAAUCCCUCAAUCAUUUUCUAUAAUAUGAGAUCCCAACUUCAUAACAAGUUCUCCACCUUUCUAGACAGUUUGAAACUAGUGUCGCACUACUAAAGGGGGAGGAGAAGCAAGAACACAAAGAAAUAAUUUAAAACUGAGAAAAAUUAGAGGUUUAUUUGAAGUGAUUGACGUCGUCUGUAGUGGUGGUGAUUAAAGGCAAAAGAUUUAACAGUGGUCCACCUGCUUAUUUUUAUCUUUGUUUUUUUUUACUUUUGAAUGAUAAAAAAAGACAAAGAAAGAUUAAAUGAGGUGUCAACAUGAACCUCAUUUUUUUCGUGAGCUAUAAAUUUUGCCUAAAAAUAAAUAAAGGGCAAAUGUGCUCCCCGCAUCAAAUAUAGACGUUAAAAAUGCACCUUUGCCCUUAAAAAAUGACACAGUUAGCAAUCUAUCACCAUUUUUUAUUCAAUCUCUUUCUCUACCAUUCUCUCAGUCUUUCUGCUAUAUAUUUUACAAGAAGAAAGAGUCAAUGGUCUUUUAAUUUACCCACAAUCUUAGGCUAUAACUCUGUUCCAUCAAACUCUCUCUUGCUGACUUUCAGGUGCUCUCUCUCUCUCAUACAUUUCGGAUCAUCACAUGACUUUUUCUCAACUUCCAGAAGUACCCAUUUCUCUUCUUCAGGUACAUUUCCAACUUCCAUCAUCACCAACACUAAAAGCUAUCAACAAAGACAAACUCAGCUUCUCUUUUGUCUUUUGCUCUUUUGUUUGUGGGUCUUUUAGUCCUAUCAUUGUUGGGUAUAUCCUUAAACGACAACCCAGUAAAAAUAAAAAUAAAAAUCACCUUUUCCUAAUUUUCUUAACGCAAAGAAUCAAUCUUUUUUCUUUUCUAGACAUAAAUUCUGUUCUUUUCUUUUCCUUUAACUAUGAGUCUUUUUACUCUCUUCUUUUUCAGCUCAUAGCAAACUCUUUGGGUCUCUUUGUCAUUGUUGAUGUUUUGAUGUCUUUGGCUGUGUCAAGUUCGAGUGGUACAAGUAACAUGGGGCUUGAUGACAACAAAAAUGAAGAGGAGAAGAGUGAAACAAGCCAUGAGCAUCUUGAGGAAGGUGAUUCAGCAGCAGGAGAGAAAUAUGCGAGGCAAAUGAGUGAGACUGACUUGUCUGUUAAUGAAGAGGAUGAAGAUGAGGAAGGAAGCCACAAGAUUGAACUUGGUCCUCAAUGCACCCUCAAAGAACAUCUUGAAAAGGAUAAGGUUUCUUUUUUUUCUUUUCUCUUGGAUGUUUCAACAUUUUAAUUAUUUGCAAAUAUGUAUUUUGCUUUAUGUAUAUAUAUAUCUAUGUAUGAUCGUAAGUUGAUGAAAAUUCAAAUAUUCAGGAUGAUGAGAGCCUGAGGAAAUGGAAGGAACAGCUUCUUGGUUCUGUGGAUUUUGAAAGUAUUGGAGGUAUCUAUCGCAUUUCCUUUCUCUUUUUUUGUCUAGUCAAAUUUUAUGAUUAUAUGGAAAAUUAAAGGUUCUAAUGGAAUUUGGGUUUUACAGGUUUUCAAUUUCUCUAAUUAGUUUCUGUUUUUACUUUGAUAUGUAGUGGGCCUAGUGGCUAGUAUUGAUGUAAAUGUUUGUUCAUGCAGACAAAAUUUGAAUGCCCUUCCCUCCUGUGUAUGCAGAAUUCCUGUAUAUUUUAAAAAGUAUCUUUUCGUAAAAGGCUAAAUUCUGUCAACUCUUUUGCAGUUUUCAAUUUCUUUGCCUAUUUUAAUAUGGCUUUCAGAAGUGCCUAAUUAUAUCUUAUUCUACUGUUUUCUCAUUAAAUCGUCAGAAUCAGCAGCAGUGCAUUGUUGAAUUAUUAUUUCUGUUUAACAUGGAGUCAAUGAUUUUGAAUUAGGCUACAAAUGUUUGGAUCUUAAUGUCCAUGCAAGCUACUACUUGAGGCACUUUAAUAUUCUAGAUACUAUUUGUAUUGGCAUAUUUAGCCUGUUCACUUAAAAAGGCAUCCAAAAAGCAAUACUCAAAAUCCAGUUUUGGCAUUUUUAAGAACUCAAUACAUAUGGGAAGCAGGAAAUUUUGCUAAUUGACCAACAAUUUCCGGAGUUUGCUUUAUUAUAAACAAGAAUGGCAAACUUCAGCUUUUUUACUUGUCACUAUUGCUAAUAAUUUAUAGCUAAAUAUUUUUGGUGUGCGUUCACUUCUCGAUACAGAAUCUUUGUUAUUGUUAAUUUGGUUUAUGCAAGAUGGAGAGACAUUUUUUUCCUUGGAUGCAUUUGCUUUUUCACCAACACUACUCUCUACUAGUUCAAUACUUGCACAAGAACAAUGCUUUGUCACAUUGUUGUUUGAACAUUGUAUCGUUUUUUGUUAUGCAAAUGGUUGUCCAUCUGGAGAAUCAAGUAGUUCUGCUGAUCUUGCUACUCUAAUCGUGUUAUAUUCACUAUGACAAAUAAUCCAAAACAGUCAGAAUUAGCCUUAGCCUUACUUCAUUUAAAUUAUUGUUUUCUUCUGCAGUUUCUAAAUCUGGUUUUUCCUUUUCAAUUAUUGCAGAAACUCUGGAACCAGAAGUGAAAAUUCUUAGUCUGUCAAUCAUCUCACCAGGCAGAUCCGACAUUGUCCUGUCUGUCCCUGAGGAUGGAAAACCAAAAGGCUCAUGGUUUACACUGAAAGAAGGCAGUCAUUACAAUUUGAUGUUCUCCUUCCAAGUUAGCAACAACAUUGUAUCUGGCCUCAAGUACACCAACACUGUCUGGAAAACUGGUGUCAAGGGUGAGCUAUAUCUACAUCCUAAUUCAUGCUAGAGCUGAUUCUUACUUCCAGAUGCUCUAAUGUUUUCCUUGUGGUGAGUUUUAUUUCAGUGGACAGCGCAAAAGAGAUGCUUGGGACCUUCAGUCCCCAGCCAGAGCCUUACACACAUGUGAUGCCUGAGGAGACCACUCCAUCAGGCAUGUUUGCUAGAGGUUCAUAUUCAGCAAAAUCAAAGGUCAGUUUUAAUAAUUUAACCCAAAAACUGUUUGCUUGAAGUCGGCUAAUAAGAUACAUUCUGGUUGCUACAGAUCCAUUUUCUGUAUCAACUAAUGUCUCUUGAGAUGUUAUCUAAAUGUAGUGGUUUAGAAUGGUCAUAUAGAGGAAAGCUCUUACUGAUGAUGAACAGUGUUUAUACUCUUUUUCUUUUUUUCUUUUUUCUUAUUUUUUGUAUAUAUGUAGCUGUUGUCACAUUCUACCAUUCUGUUUGUGGAUCAAGUUGGUUGAAUAGCCAAGGGGUUGAAAUCCAAUUAAGAAUAUCUCCGUUUACUUUGAUUUCUACUUUUGAGAACAUACUCAGAUAUGCACCAUGCAUGUUCAUAAUGAAAAAGAAUAUGCAAUCUAAUUUUUUAUCUGAAUCAGGUGCUGAAACUACUUAAAUUUUUAGCCAACACUUGUUUCGCCAUAAAAUGAUUAUUAUAUCUUUUCGAAACCAUAUUUUCCUGGUCUGUAGCAUGUUUUCCUCCUUAAGUUGUAAGUGGACUCAUAAGUUAUCCAUCUGAUAGACAAAGUGGCAUCAAAUGUAUCAAAUUGUCCCACCUACCUUCUUUUGAAGGACAAGUACCAUCAUAUGUUUUUCGCCUUUCUGUCUGGUAUAUGUGGUCCAUUAAUAGAACAUAUCAGUCUCUGGAACCAUCUUUUGCUAAGGUCAUGGCCCAUGCUGAUCUGUGUACUUAAUUCUUGAUGUAGACUUUAGUUUGCUUUGUCUAUUAUAUCAGUACUUGAGCUUAACCAUCUGUAAAUUUUUCCUUUAACCAUCUCAGUUCCUUGAUGAUGAUAAUAAGUGUUACUUGGAGAUCAACUACACAUUCGACAUCCGAAAAGAAUGGGCUGCUACUUGAAGAAUGUUGCAAGAAAAGCACAUGCAUAUCUCCCUUAUUCGGUUAAUAUCUGCCUUUUGUUAGUCUCAAAUUUUCUUUUUUCUUUUGUUUUGCCCCUUUAGACCGUGUUACAUUCUUACUUCCACAUUUUUAUUAACCACUAUAAUGGAGACAAAGAAAAUUCAAUUGGUGAUGCUUUUAAUAAAUGGAGAGGUUAGCCUGUCUACCUUUUUCUCUACUAACCCUCACAUUUUCUAAAUACGGAGUACAAGCUGAAGUUGCCCGGAUUGUUUACUAGCAGUCUGCGCUCCGUUUAUAAUAGGAGACAGUAACUCAAUGGUAUAGAAGGAGUGUUGAAGAUGUUUGAUAUUAGUAGUGUAGUAGCUAAUGAGUUUUGGUUUUGUUUGACUCUACUGUGCCCCUUUAUUUCAAUUCCUUAGCUUCUAUUAUAUGCUAAAAUUAGCUUACUUUCAGUCAAACAUAAUCUUAAUUAUUUCUCUUCUUCUUUUCAACUCAAUCCCUUAUUCUUGUUCUGGUCAUGUUUGUUUUCCUUGGUCUUCCUUUGGAUAUCAAAUGCCACUUCAUUUAGGAAUUACUUGGGCUAAUUAUCGUCUGAUGACCCAAUCUAUGCACAACUAAGCCUCACAGCUAGUAACACUGAUUCGACCAGGCUUAGGCAUGUAAUGGGUAGUUGUUUACUGAGGAAAGCUUGGCCUUACCCAAACAGAAAAUCAAUUUGAAGAACCUGAGAAUUGGAUAUCUAGGAGUGAAGAAAGUACUCUGCUGAGCCUGAGAUGAAGUUCUGGCAUGAAAAAUUAUUUGAUGGUAUACUACUAGAGAGCUCUGAGCAUCCAGUUUCCUGUUAGGGAGGAAUGGAAUUUAAAUGUUCGGUUCAGAUGCAUGGUAAUGGCAAAUAUGCUAUAGUAGCUAUCCCCUUCUCUCAAGUUUUUGUUGUUGGGUAACUGGAGUGUCCCUCUAAAUUGAUUAUCAGUAUUAUAUAUGAGAUAUGAUUUAGUUGAAGUGGUAAUUACUAUUUGCUGGCAGUAUUUUUCCAUCCCAUACCAAUCACUUUUAAAUAUUUAAACAUUAUCUUUUUUAUCUUUUUAUUUUAUAAUUGUAUACUAAAAACUGUUUUUGUCAGAAUUUGCGCUAAAUAAUAAUUAACUUAGUUUUAUUUUAUACUAUUUGCCCCUGACUUUUAAUGUAAUAUACAAAUUAUCCCCUAUAGUUUAUUUAUUAUACUAGAAUCCUCUUAUCUAAUUUCUGUUCAAAAAUGAAGUUUAGUGUCUAGACAAAAAUAAUUAAUUUUUAUUUUUUAAUUACUCUAAUUUCUAGCAUAAUUAAAUUCUUAUAAAAUUUAAAUAGAUAUAUAAUUCUUUAUUAUUAAUUUUGUUACACUAGAAUUAUAACUUUGAUAAGAAGUUUCAUAAUCAAAUUAUAUUUUCAAUCAAUUUAGUUCUUGGAUUGACUUUGAAAAUGUAAGGAAAUUUUAAUGCACUAAAUAAAAUAUAGAGGCAAUUUGUAUAUUACACCGAGUCAGGAGGCAUAUAGUAUAAAAUCAAAUCUAGUUAACAAUUGAGUAACAAAAAUUAUGAUUGAAGGAAACUUUAGUAUAAAGUUACAAAAAUGAAGGAUAAAAAAAAUUUCUUUUUAAAUGUUAAGGGAUAAGCAGUGUAAUAUGGAAAAAUACAAGAGGUAUAUAGUAAUUACUCCUUAGUUGAAUAUAUAAUAUUAUAUAUAAAAGUGAAAAAGAGAGGACAGAUAAAUUUAUUAAUAUGAUCUUACUAAUUCAAUAGCUAAAUAGGUUAAUUUAUUAAUUUGAUUUAAUAAUAUAUAAUAUUUUAUAACUAAUAAAUUAUUUUUAAAAAGUCCAACUCUGUUAUAAUUUUUAUGUGUAAAGUGUUAAGUAUUUAUAAUUCAAUAAAAAAAAUGUCCAAGUAAUACCAUAAUAUCGAUAUUUAAAUUGAUAGUGUAAAAAGUUCAUCAAAUAAGCUAAGAAACACUAUAAAAAAUUUAAAAAGUAAAUUAUUAAGCUUACAUUUAAUUAUAGUUAUCACAAAUUGAUGAUGUUUUAAAGAUAUUUUAGAUAUCUAAACCUAAAUAUAAUAUUAGAAUUAAAAAAUUUAAUUUUAUUAUUUUUUAAAAUAGAAAAAAAAACAAAUAGUUCAUAUUUUUAUGUAUUUACUAUAUGUUACCUUAUUAAAAUGAAAUGAAAUAUGUAUCGUAUAAUCUUUAAGUCAAAUUAAUAUGGUUUUAUAAUAUAUGUGCAUUUUGAUUUUUUUUUUACACAUUAAAUUUAUAUAAAUUGUUUAAGUCAUACAUAAAUUACUUUGAAGAUGAGUUUGCUAUAAUAAAAAGAUUUUAUAAUUAUCUUAAUAUUACAAAUAUUUAUAAUGCUAAAUUUAAUAAUAUUUAUUAUUUUAUGUUUAAGUGAUAAUGCAUCAAUAUUUAAUAUUCACGUAUAAUAGAGAUGGCAAAGUUUGAUCCAAAUUCAUAAAUCCUGAAACGUAACCUAUUUGGAACUGAAUUUUAAUAAAAAAAUUAAACAUCCAAAUCUAAAAUGAUUCGAGACUCAAAUUGUGCAAACUCGAAAUGACUCAAACUCGAAGUAAUACUAAACCAAAGUGAUUUGAGACCUAAGAAAUCCGAGAUCAAAAUAACCCGAGUCUGAAACAGUAAAAGAAUUUAAAAGAAUCCAAACUCGAAAUAAUUUGAAUCCAAGACUAAUAUGUUUCGAAAUUUGAUAAUAUUUGUAUUUAUCACCAACACAGUCUGAUUAAAAAUUUCAAAUGAUUUGAAAUAUAAUUUUUUAUUAAUAUAACAAUAACAUUUUUGUGAUAUUAAAUUAUCAUAUUUAAUUACUUUUGAUACUAGUUUUCUUAAUAUAUUUUAUUUUCAAUUAAGAUUUUAAGAAAUAUAUUCUAUAAUAUUAUCUCUGAAUCUCUAAUCUCUUAAAAUUAUUAUUUUAUAAGUUUUAAUCAUUAAAUAAAAUAAUUAGUUUCAAUUUAUUUAUAUAACAUAAAAGAAUAAAAAUAUUAACAAGUAAUUAAAUAAAAUAAUUUAAAUUAAGAAAUAGAUAUUUGUAUUUGUUAUCUUAUAAUUUAUUUUAUUUUCUAUUCAAAUAUUUCUUUAAGAAAAAUAAAAAAUAAAAAUUUUAUAUUAUUAAUUAAUUAAAUAAAUUUUGACACCGAUACCAUUUUGAAUUUAAAUUUUUUUAAUUUUAUCAACAAAAACAUUGUCGUAAAUAAAUUUAAUAGUUAAGUUCAUUAUUCUCUAAAUUAAUAAAACUUUUUUUAUUUUCUUUUUUUAAUAUUUAAAGAAAAAAUUAAGAUAAAUGAUGAUAGUUCAAUAAAGCGGCGACCAUACAAAUUUCAGCUAAAAAAUAGUUCAACACUAGCAUAUAAGUUUUGAAUUCUAAAUUUUCAACUAGAAAAUUAAAUAUGUAAAAUUUUAUUGGAUAAAACUAAUGAGAUCAAAAAAUAAAAUUAAAUAAGUCAAUUCGAGAAUUUAAUUCGAACAUGAUAAAUUAGUCUGAAACCUAAUCUAAAAUCUGAGGCAAUCCGAAUUAAAUUUUAUUUGAACUUGUACUGAUUCGAACACGAAAAGAAGCAGGAUCAUAAAGACUCGAAUUUGAAAUUAGCAGAUUCCAAUAUUAUUCGAACUUGAAAUUUCUCAAACUCGAGAAAAUCUAAACCAAAAUAGUCUAACCCAAAAUGAUUUUAUACGAAUCCGACUCAAUUCACCUAUUACUAUCUCUACAUAUAAUGCAUGUGAGAUAAAAAUUUAAAAAAAUUAAUAUUACAUUAGGCUCAAUGUUAACUGCUACUUUAGUUUAUAUGAAUUGCAUAAAUCUUCUAAUUAUAGUUACUUAAAAUGCCAUAAUUCAGUUAUGAAUAGUGAGUCUAAUAAAAAAUAUAUAUAUCAAUCAAAAAAAGAAAUAUUGACUCUAUGAUUUAAUAUUUUGAUAUAGGAGGUUAUAUAAUUAUAUGGUUAGCAAUUUAUAUAUAAAUUCAUUAACAUCAUCAAUAUUUUUAGCCAUUGAAUUUCAAAAGUAGUGUGACAACUGCAAAAUUAGUUUUGAAUAGAUGGAGAAAAGUAGAAUUUUCUAAUAUUGUCGAAUCAUUCAAAACUUAUUGCAGCUAAUUAGAAUUAAAUAAAAAUCAAACUAUGAGAUUUUUUCUCUCUAAAUUAAAUGAAAAUUGACGUAGCAUAUGAUGAAAAUUAAGUUGAUAAGGAGUUCAAUAGUUGUAGAAUCACAAGCAAUUGACAUUGAGUGAAUGAGCUAGAACUAUUGAAUUAACAAUAUUAGUGAAUUUGGAUAUAUAUUAUUAAGGAUUUAACUUUUAGAGUACUAAAACGUCACAAAAAAAAUUAUAAGACCCCUUUCUAUCAAAAGGUUAAAUAACAUUAUUAAAUUGAUUACUUUUCUAAAAUAAAAAAAUAAGACUAUGAAGUCUCUCUAUAGCAUUAUAAGAAGUUGAGAUCUUGAGGUCCAAUUAAUACUCAUACAAACUCAAGAUCGGUAACUACUAUGACCCCUAUAGUAUGAUGGAUAGUUUGAUCAGACAUAAUAACCGAGUAUCAUGUGUUGAAUAGGCAUAACCGACAAAUACAUGGUUGAUUGAGUUCAAAUCCAAGUAUAACUUAAAUUCUUGAAGACUAAGUCAUAGUCAAACUCUAACUAAGUAAUCUGACUCAACCUAGGACGUUGUUGUACUGCAAGAAGACAAAUUCUAAUAGAAUCAGGGGAUCUUACAUUCAUAUAGUCCUACUCUUGAUAGGACUAAAAGACCUCCAAAUUCUAUAUAAGAGAUUGUGGUGUAACAUGUCAGGUACAUAUAUACUUCUAUAAUCAAUACAUUAUUAUAACCUAUACCUUUAUAGACUUAGAUUGGAGUGAGUGGUCAGACAACUCUAUUCGACGCUAUCUAACCUUUAUUAUAAAAUACUCUAGAGCUUAGGUUAGACUUAAGAUCUUUGUUGAUAGCUAAGUUCCUUGACAAAAUUGUCGAUUGGUGUUGUCUGUGGGAAUCCUCAGGAUAAAGCCUUUUUUCCUACCACACCAAGCAAAGCUAAAUGGCAUCCAACCAGAAUGAAGAUGUUCUUUAUCUAGGAUUUGAACGUGCUGAUCCACCUCAAAAUGACCCUCCUCGAAUUGAUCCUCCUCAAGAUGAUCCUUCCUAAAAUAAUCCUCCUCAAGAUGAUCCACCAGAGCCAAUUAGAUUACAGCAUCUCAUCCUUUAAGAAGAAUCUUCUUCUUGAUUACUUUAUUCUAUAAUAGAUCUUCAGUAGAAACUACACUUGGAGAGGUCCACCACUAAUAUGAGACUUUACAUUUGCACUAUAGAGAGAGUUGGGACAAAGACCUCAAGCACUAUGUCUCAAGUUCUAUUUUAUUCCACUCCAGCAAUCUCGAUAAUCCCUCAAAGUUGACCUUUAGGACUUCCUCAAAGUCCUUGGCAGCCAACUUCUGAAGACAUUAUGACCAUGUAUAAUCAGAGCGAUUUGUCGAGAAUGCAUUAUGAAAAUAUAUUAGCUUAAACUCUCACAAGGGAGACCAUGCCUAUUCCACAAAUCAGUACUAGUCGAGCACAUGAUAUAAUCAAUUAAACUAUUAAGAUCGGUCGGCAACCAGCACUACAAAUCCUAAGAUAGAUAAAUACACAGAUGGAUGGUCAAAACCGAUCUUAGAAAAGAAACAUCUGAAAUAGAGUAUCCAAAGAAGAGAGCUCUGGUUCUUAAACUCAUGAUUCAAUCUAGAUUGAAGACACCAUUAAAAAAGAAUAGCAGACGCCCUUAAAAAGUACCGAACUGGGAAGAUAAGGAGAGAUAAGGUUCUCUCAAAAGAAAACCCUUUAUGUCUGAGAAUCUAAGAGAGCACUUCCCUCAAAAGUUCAAAUUGCCACCUUUGGACUUCUACAGUGGCUUAAAAGAUCCUCAAAGUCACAUUCAUAACUUCAACAUCAAGAUGGGUUUACACAAUAUAUCAAAUCUAAUAUAUGAUAUAGGAUCUUUCCAAUAAUCAUAAAAGAAAAUACUCAAAAAUGGUACCAAAGCUUUCCAGAUGGUUGAAUAUGCGAAUUUCCAACACUUUCCAACACUUUAAAGCUCGUUCAUUACCAGCAUUCUCCCUAAAAAGCGAUCAAGUGGUCUAAAAAAAUGUAUCUAGAGGAGGGGUGAAAGUCUGAAAGAUUAUUGAAAGAUUCAACAAGGAAGCUUUCUAAGUAAAGAAGCUCAAUCAAGACACAACAAUAGAUGUAAUGACCGACAACACUUGCAUAAAUAAGUUCAAAGGUUCCUUAACAAUAGAUCCACUAGAGUCAUAUGACAAGUUGAUUUUGACGGAGCUCAUAGUUUUAUUAGCCUCGGUGAAGACUGUCGAGUUAAAAGAAGGACUGACCAUGAUGNNNAGAUGAUAAAAGAAAGAAUGACUCUAGAAAUGAUCAUAAAGACUUCAUUCCUUUGAACAUAUCAAUGAAUAAUAUUUUUAUGUGGGCUUAGAAGAACAAGAGAGAUAUCAAGUAUCCCAACCCAAUGAGAGAGCAGAUAAAAAAUACUAUAGAUAAAAGCAAAUUUUGUAAGUUCCAUAAUGGUCAAGGGCACGAUAUAAAGGACUACAUAUACUUAAAGAGAGAAAUUGAGAGGUUGAUUGAGAGAGAGCACUUAAAAAGGUUUAUAGACAUAAAAGAUGAUUAGUCGAGAAAAGAUAGAAAAGAGGGCACCUAAAAAGGUUUGUAGUCUAGAGAUAGAAGCUCUAGGGGCUCUAAGAUUUCGAGAGGCAGAGAUCAUUAAGAGUCACCAGGAAAAAGAAAUUUUGAGAAAGGAGACGUAUAUAUAAUAUUUGGAGGAGCUACGUCUGUAACUAAGAGGUUCAAGAGAAAAAAAAGAAAGAUGAGUUAUAUAUAAUGGCCGAGCAUGAGAAACUCCAAGGCAUAGUUUUCUUAGAAAAAGAUAGGGAAGGAAUUGAGAUGUCUCACCAGAAUGUCUUAGUAAUAUUAUAUUUCAUUGAGAAUUACUGAGUGAAGGUUAUUUAUCGUUCAUAGGAGUGCGAUCAACAUCAUGACUCUAUAAUGCUACAAAGUCAUUAGUGGGGGAGUAAUGAACUUGAAACCCUGCACAAUUCUACUAUUUGGCUUAGAUAGCCAGCCAUUGCAAUCUCUAGGGCUAGCCAGGCUAACUAUAGAGCUCAUAAAAGAGACUAAAAAAGCUGACAUAAUCAAAAGGCCACUAAGAGAUGGCAAACUUCCUUUAUGAUCAUUGAUAUUCCAUUUACAUACAAUGUAGUCUUCAGACGACCUAGACUGAGGGAGACCAAGAUAGCCACGAGCAUCAACUAUUUGAAGGAGAAAAUAUCGACCUCUAAAGAAGUUAUUACAGUAUACGAAAAUCAAAACAUGGCAAGAGAACUUACAUAUUUCAUGCUUCCUUAUUUAUAUCUAGCUAAUAAACAUGGUAUCCAUUUGUUAUUGUUGCCAUAAGAUAAAAAAUAAAAAUUAUUUUAACUUUAACAAGAUUUAUAAAUUAAGUGAUGUUUUUACCUGUUUAAUAAUAUAAUAACCAAAGUCAAUUUUUAAUAAAUGAUCAUUAAUACUUAAUUAAAGUAGAAAAUUAAACCUAAAAUUUUCUUUAUUUAUCAUUAAUAGAAUAAUUGUUAAUUAUCAAGAAUUAUUGUUUAACAUCAAACUAAUCACCACUCGCGCAUUCUUUUUUCCUAAUGAAUAAAUCUCUAACAUUUAUAUAGCUUAAAUGUUUCGUUUGUCUCAAAGAAAAAGUAUUUCGAUUGAUAAUAUCAUGAAGAUAAAUUGAUGAAAUUGACAUUGAAUUUCUUUUUUCAAACAUAUUUCAUCAAUGGGAUUAUUAUUCCUUAAUGUGUUACCAUCAAAAACAAAAAUUCUAAAAAUUAAACUACAAAUCGUCCCGACUAAGCAUGAGCUAUCUUAGACGAACUCAAUAAAAGCACAUAAUAAAAAGAAAUCAAAUCAUGAAAUCACCUAACCACAAAGAGAAUUAAAAAAACUAAAAGAACCAAGAAGGAUUGGCACAGGACACUUUCUUUUACUUGAAGAAGAAAACAAAGGACUUUUCUGCCGUAAAAAGACAUACAAGACCAUGAAAAUUCUAAGUGUCUUUCGUGCAUACAAAAACAACACAUGAACAUGAGAAAAAUCAACACCACCAAAUUAGUAAAACCCAAAAAAAAAAAAAAAAAAAAAAAAAUCCAUGAAAACGAAUCAGCUUGACAAGGCAGUCUUACCUGCCUGUAGCCAAAGUUUGAUUGUAACUUCUUAUCUUCCUUCCCUAUUCACUGCCAACCCCCUAAAAAUAAGUUUCUCACCCUUUCUCUUACUUGAAUAGAAACUUCUAUGAUUGGUGGCAAGUACCUUUAAGCUAAACCCCCCUUUUCUUUUUCAUUUUCUUUUUCCAAAUGCUGGACUUAAUUGCUAAUCUUAAUCAAACUUGUCAAAUUAGAAUUGGAAUCCAACGGUUUAGAUGGGUAAAUCUUGAUUAGAAGAUCGACAAUGUGGUCAUCAGGUUAUUGCUAGUGUAUAUUUUAUAUAAUGAGACCCUUAAACGGAAAGCGUUGAUUUAGCUUUUUGCUUGCUUAAUUGUUCUUGAUAAUGAUAUCCAUUAGUGUUUUAAUUAAACAAAACUCAUGUGCCAAAAAUAUUAUCAAUAUCCUAACAACUAAUUUGGUGGGUCUAGAUAGUAGAAAUUGCCAUAAGACCUUCCCAUAGCUAGCUCAGAGUACAAGACAAAUCCCACCUCCCUCUGUCAAAUUAUGAUUGAUUUAAUUUAUUUAAUACUCAAUUUGACCCUUAAUCCAUGUUUGCUCACAUGCUCCACAUUUCCAAUUUAGCUUUAACAUUAACAAACAAUAAUGAUAAUAAUAUAGGUGAUGCUCCAUAUAUGUGUGUGUGUGUGUGAUCUAAACUUUUCUGACAUGAAUUACUAGUUUUGAUUAUAGACAUAGUUUUACACACAGUUUUAACAUAUAGGUAUAUUGAUUACGUGUAAUUUUUAUGUUUAUUGUAUUACUAUUUUAAUAAUAUUUUAAUAUAAUUUAUUAUUUUUUUAAUUAAAUAAUAAUUUUAAUCUUAAAAAUAGCAUAUAAUUAAUAUAUUAAAUAAAUUAAUUUGUGCUUAAACGAUUAGUAUGUAAAACGCAAGGCUUCUUACUUUAAAAAUUUUCUAACAUAUAGGCACAUGGAGAUAUUUUUAACACAUAAUUAUAGUGAUGAUAUGUUAUUUCUAUAGCAUUAACAUUAUACUAUAUUAAUAUAUUAAUUAAUAAAUUUUUUUUAUUAGCAAUGACUUUGAAACCUAAAUUUUAGAUUUAAUCCUAUUACCCUCCAUUAAUCCCAAAUGGACUUUGAAAUUUUAGCAUGUUUGAAUAUAUUAAUUAAGGUAUUAAUUUUAGGUCUUCUUAUUCACUUACAUUAAAUGAAAUUAUAUUUUUCUAGUGAAAUAUAGAGUAAUCCAUAGCUAAACAUUGUUUGUUUUCUAAAUAACAAAUAUAAUUAACUUUUAACUUUUAAUGUAAUGAAAUUGAAGAGAAAAACAUCAUUUUGCAAUAUUCUUAUAAAUGUCUAAAUAGUUAAUAAAACAAAUUGCCUUUUCUUUUAGGAUAAAGAAAAGGACAAAACCCAAGUAAAGUAUAAUUGAGAAUAAUGAUUUUUCAUGAACCCGCCAAUCAUAAUUGGUUUUAUUAAAACAAAUUUGAAAUUUCAACAACGAUAUAAACACAGCACAGUGCACAGGCAAAAUGUGUCGUGGGAUGUGUCGGUGGGGUGAGACACGAGAGAAACGGUGCCGUAUUUUCGUAAAAACACGCAGACAUUGAUAAUAUGUGCUGUCAAAGGGGGCGGAUAUGAUUGGUCAUCAUCACCUCUGGUCACCCUAGUUGGCAAAUAAAGUGUAAAGGACUAUUUUUAUUCUACUGUAUGCCAAAAUUAAUAUUAUGAGAUUUGUCAAUAACCAUACAUUUUAGUCCUCUGUUGAUAAAAAUGCAAAAAUAUGUCUAUUUUUGUGUUGAUAAAAAUGUAAAAAUAUGUCUAUUUUUGCGUUUGGUCUACCUAUGUAUUAUGUGAGUAUUUACUAUUAUUUUAAUUAUAAAUAAUUUUUAACAAUUUCUAAGAAUUGAAAUUAUAUUUUUAUUUAUUUAUUAUGUAUGCAAUAUGUCGAAUAAUAAAUUAAGUGCAUAUUGUAAUUUAUUAAUUAACAUAUUGCUUAUAUUUAUAAAUUAAUAUUAAGAAUAUAAUUAACAUGAUUUUUUUAAAAUUAAAAUUUUUCAAUUUAAAAAUAAUUUAUUAAUUAAUAUAUUAAAUAAAUUUAUGUAAGUUAAUAUUAAGAAUUGAUUGAAUACGAUAUUUCUUAAAAAUUAUAGUGAGAACUUUAUUAAAUUACUUUGUGGUUUAAUGUAUUACCGCUUUUUGUUACUUUAGUACCUGUGGAUUAAUGAUUGUUAGUAAAUAGCGACUAAAUUGCAUAAUGUCAUUAAAAGAUUCUGACGUGGCAUGUAAUAAUAUUAUUCUUUCAACUGUCAUGCUAGCACUUGCUAAUGAUGUUAAUGUAAUUUGACUAAUAUUUGCUAACAGUCAUAUAUUCACAUGGUACCAAAGUGAAAAAAAGCAAACCACAGACUUUAAAAGUGAAAAUACGUUAAACCACAAGGUAAUUUACUGAAAUUUUUUCUAAAAUUAUAUUAUAUAAAAAUAAAGACUAAUAAAAUAAAUUAGAUAUAUAUUUAAAUUUUUAUUUUAUAUGUCUAACUCAUUCAUAAUUUUUUUUUAAAAUCAUAUAUAUAUAUAUAUAUAUAAAACAACAGUUGAAAGAUUGACUUAUUCGAAAAUUUACGAAUUCUCCUUUAUUUAACUCUUCAAAUAUUUCGUCGCUUACUAAGCCACUUUCUCAUUUCUAAAAGUCUAAGUAUCUACCAUAAAUUUUUUCUCAUUUGAACAUUGCUCUUAACUCUAAAGCUAUGUCAUCUUAAAUGCCGCUAAAUAGAAGGAUAUUAUAAACGUCUUGAUAAUCAUAGAUUGAAUUGUUGAAUUGAAAAAAUUAUAUAUAUUAGUUUUUGCGAUUUUAAUAAUAAAUAUUUUUGGUGAUAAUCAUUAUUGUUAAGAAUAUUUAUAUAAGGACUAAAUCAAUUAGUUUUGAAACUGCAAGGACUAAGUUGUUUUUUUUUUUAUGUCCCAACCCGAGGGACAUUGUAUUGCAAUCAACCGUAAAACUUUAGAUAGCAAAAAGAAGAAGAAGGUUUUAACAAGUCUAGUGGGCACACCGACCCGACAGCCAUAUUCUGGUUGGCCCAAAACUCAUGGUGGGCGCCCACUUUUGACCCUUCACAAUUUCUCAAUCCUUCUCACCUCUUUCUUCUUCAUUCUUAAUUAUUCUUUUCUUCUCCCUCUCUUGUUUUCACGAGAUUUUCUCCCUUUCUCAUUCCUUCCUUGUGAUUUCUUAUCGUGCUAUUUUCAAGACUUAAGGAUUCAAUUGAAGUUAAAGAAAGAAAUAAAGUUUCUACCAUAAGUUUGUGUUUUAUAAUGGUAACAUUUGAAGGUUAAAUACACAUUGCAUACUUACAAUAUAAUUAUUAGGUGAAUCAUUAUGACUCCAUUUGAUUAUAAAUGUAAUCAAUUUCGUCCAUUGAAAUUUAAAGAGUUUAAUUUGAAUUCAAUAUUAUUUAUAAUAAAUUUAAGUCCAAUCCAGACUUAUUUUGAACUAUUAUAAUACGAUGCAUCUCAAUUUAUUUUAAGAUAAUUAAAAUUAAGCUCAAUUAAUAUAGUUCAUUUAUCACAUGAAAAAACUUAAUUCGAGAUUUACUUGCUAAGUGAUUGAUGACUGACCGACCAAAAUAGCAUACUAUAGAACAAAUUCUCUUGAGAAAUUCAAGAAGGUUAUUACCUGCAGUUUGGGGAGUGUAAAGAAUUUAAAAAAUAAAGAAGAAAAAAGAAAUAAUUAGUUGAAAGUUGAUUAUGAAAGGCCACCCUACAAUGGGCCUAUAUUUUUAUUUUUAUUUUUGUUUUUUGGUUUCUUUACAAGAAUUUCCAACAAAGCAUACUUUAAUUUACCCUCUAAGAAAAAGAGUCAUUUCCCAAGUUUGGGAGGUGAAAACAACAUCCCAUGCUAUAUAAUAUUGCAUUCUUAUGUAAUUUAGCAGUACCUAGUUACCUACUCUCUCUUUCCUUUAUAACUCAGUGUUUUUUUCCAGCUGGUACCACCCUCUAAAUCAGUGUUUUUUUCCCUCUCAUCAUUCACUGGUAAUAACUCUGUAUCUUUAAAUAGCUUCACCACCUUUCUAUUCUCCAGUACAAAUUUUUAGUUUUGGCAUUUUGAUUUCAUUUCUCUCUGAAUUCCUCUUGGUAAGGUCAGUGUGUACUUCAAUCUUUACUCUCACUGCAUUUCUUUUUCCAUUUUGUGUUGCUUUUCAUGUGCUAAUGUGAUGUGAAGUACCCAUCUUCAGAUUCUCAAGGUUUUGCUUGCUUUUGAGUAGCUCUUUCUUGCUAAUGGCACUGGGUAUUCCCCAUUUCUUUUCUAUUGGUCAAGAAAAUUGGUGGUCAUUUUCUGCAACUGGAAGAACUGUUGCUUUUGGAUGAGCUGGUCUAGAUCUGUUUCUUGUCUUUUCUCCUGAUGUACCUUGUGUGACUGUGUUUUUAUUGUUUUCGUACUUCAAUUUCUGUUUUUGAAACAGAAAUAUCGGUUUAUAGCUUCUGUUCAACUAUCAUCUGUUAUUGCAUUGUUUCAGAUCCCGUUUCAGGCUUUCUAGAUUAAAUGAAUCAGUUUCUUUCAUGUGCCUAGCUAAAAAGAAAGAAAAAGUAUUUCUUUUGUAUUUCUUUUUCUAGUGUUGUUGGAUGAGCUGGUCAAGAUCUGAUUUUUUCCUUUUCUAGGUUAGUAGUUAAGGUCAUUAUAUUCUUAGCUUCUUAAUCCUGAUAGAUAUUUGUUGCUUGGAUAUCUUCUGUUGAUUUUCAGUUUCUCACCUUGAUACAAUGCCAUCAUUAUUUUGCAAAAGCAAAUUUAGUGGUUUCUUUGUUUUUUCUUUGUUUUUUCUUUGUGUUUUUUUUUUUUUCAAUUGAUGAACUGUAGUUGUGUUCAUAAGCUGAAAUAUAAGAAUUGAUAGGAUGUAUUUGCCUACUGCAGGAAUUUGGAGAGUUGGUAAAAUAUUUGCUACAUAGACUUUCUGAAAGCCAUGGAGCUAUCUAUGAUUUUCAUGUUUAGUAGCACACUACUGUUCUUGUUCACUUCAACAGCAUAUGUUCAAGCUGCUAGUCCUCCCUCAGCAAUCCUGCCACCCACUCCAGCACCAGCACCAGCACCAAUACCUCCUUAUGUAAAUCUCACUGAUUUACUUUCUGUUGCUGGCCCAUUCCACACUUUCCUUAGUUACCUUGUGUCCACCAAAGCCAUUGACACCUUCCAAAACCAAGCCAACAAUACAGAUGAAGGCAUUACCAUCUUUGUACCAAAAGACGGCGCUUUUUCAUCUCUUAAGAAGCCUUCUUUAACAAACCUCACUCAAGAUCAGCUCAAGCAACUCGUCCUUUUCCAUGCCUUGCCCCAUUAUUACUCUCUUGCUGAAUUCAAGAACCUUAGCCAAUUAAGCCCUGUUAGCACAUUUGCUGGUGCGGGUGAAUAUGCUUUGAACUUUACUGAUGUAUCUGGGACUGUACACCUUGAUUCAGGAUGGACUAAAACUAAAGUUAGCAGCAGUGUACAUUCAACUGAUCCUGUUGCAAUUUAUCAAGUUGAUAAGGUUCUUCUACCUGAGGCAAUUUUUGGUACUGAUAUACCUCCGACUCCUGCCCCAGCACCAGCUCCCGAAAUUAGCCCAGUAGCCGAUUCUCCAUCAUCUGAAGUGACUGCAGAUAAAGGGCAUGCUCCUGGAGUUGCCCCGCCAAACUCUUCAUAUAGAAUCAGUAACAUGGGUAUUUGGAGUCAAUUGGUUCUUGCAGUUUCAGGUGUGCUGGUCUUAUUCUUGUAAGGGAAAAUUCAUGGAUAUGAGCCUCUAAUUUAUGUUGAGAGGGUACCUCCGGAUUUCGUUUUAUCUGCUUUGAUUUUCAAACCAUUUUUUGAUUAUAUAUGUUACUGAAAUUUAUGUAAGUGAAUGAAUGUUACCCUUAUGAUCUCUGUUUCUACGCAAACCACCUUUUUUGCUUGAUCCAUUGCUUGUAUUUGGUAAUGGCUAUACUUUUAUGGAGUUGAUAUUCUUAAGCAUUAUACUAUUGCAGUUUAUUCGUUUAAACAGUCCCAUAUCUUAGCAUUUAAAGAGAAUAAAUUAGUUUAAUUGCAAAAGUUUAGUACUUUACAGCACAAUGGUCCCAGAAUGUUUUCAACAAUGAUGUAUGUCUCUAGAAAAGUUCUUGAGAGACUGAAAUCAGUUUUUAUUUGAGUUGAUGCUUUCUUCGUCUGGUCUUCAGUCAUUUACCUUAUUACUUACCAUGACUGCAUGUUUGAUGCUUGUCCAAUUAUUAAAUAGAAUGUUACUUAAUCUAGAAUCCAAGGAAAAACCCACCUUUUAAAAUGGGUGGCAAUGGCACAGCAAUAAGUAAAAGCUGCAACACUCCUAUCAUAUGAUGUCUUUUCAUUAAAAAAGAAAAAGACCACAAAACACUUGAAUGAUGUCUUCUCAUUCAAAAGAAAGGCCACAAAACACUUGAAGUCUGGCUCAAAGACCGAGUAUUUGCUAUCGGGAGCGAGAGACUUUUCGUCUUUUAACCCCAGUAUACGAUAAGGGGCAACUACCUUGUUGCAGAAUUCACGGCCUUAGGGCCAACUUAAUGGACAAGAGUUUUUCUUGUUAGUAUUAUUUGUGAAAGGCAACAGAUUCCAGUCUAAUGUUUGAAUGUUCCAUUCAUAUUUUCGUGCUUGUCAUUGUCGUAGCUGUCUAAAUCUCUGAUGCAUCAGGGAAACGAAAAAAGAAAAAGAAAAAUAGUGAUCAGGGCAGCAGGUUGUGGAUGAAGGGAUGAUGGAUAUCCAUCAGUGGUGCAUGUACGAAAUGUUGAAAACAAUGUUGCAGAGUUGGGUUCUUAACCUCUGCUUCAAGCAAUAAAGCAAUAAUCAUUGAAUUUCAAGCUUUUUAAUCUGAAGAUGAUAAUGUGGUAGUAGAUGAUUAAGAAAAUAGAAUGCUUUCUUAUUAUGGUUUUGAUGGGUUUCUUCCUUUNNNNNNNNNNNNNNNNNNNNNNNNNNNNNNNNNNNNNNNNNNNNNNNNNNNNNNNNNNNNNNNNNNNNNNNNNNNNNNNNNNNNNNNNNNNNNNNNNNNNNNNNNNNNNNNNNNNNNNNNNNNNNNNNNNNNNNNNNNNNNNNNNNNNNNNNNNNNNNNNNNNNNNNNNNNNNNNNNNNNNNNNNNNNNNNNNNNNNNNNNNNNNNNNNNNNNNNNNNNNNNNNNNNNNNNNNNNNNNNNNNNNNNNNNNNNNNNNNNNNNNNNNNNNNNNNNNNNNNNNNNNNNNNNNNNNNNNNNNNNNNNNNNNNNNNNNNNNNNAACAGUUUAUAAAUAAAUUAAAAAUAUUAAUAUAUUAAACCAAAAAAUUUCUAAACUUGUCUUUUGAACAUGCAACCCCAAUCCCAAACACACCCUGACAGAUUUUUCUCAAAUUACUUUUUCAAAACAGUUUUUGAAAGAAAAUACAUAAAUUGAUGCUUUUCUUAAAAAAAAAAAAAGAAGAAGUUAACAGAAAAUAAUUUAUAAAAAAACAAAAAUAUAUUAAUAUAUUAAAUUAGAAAAUUUUUAAAAUUUUCAUUAAGCUUCUCAGAUUUGAUAUUUCCAAAAACGAAUCUAAUAUCAAUUAAACUAUAUUGAAUUGAUGUAAUCCUACUUCUUUAAAUAACCCAAAUAAGGUUCUUUUGAACAAAUACUUGGGAAUCAGAUCAAUCUGCAUAUCUUAUAAAGAUAAAAAGCAAGGACAUUCAAUUAUGCAUAAGGGGUUCAUAGUUUCUUGCGUACCACUUCUUUGUUCGUUGGAGGAAUGUCUCCACACAAAGAAUCUUUUUUAAAAACAAUAAGGAACUGCAGCAUCAAAUGGCCUAUUAGCUCAGUUGGUUAGAGCGUCGUGCUAAUAACGCGAAGGUCGCAGGUUCGAGACCUGCAUGGGCCAAAUUUUUUUUCCCUUACUAUUAUUUAAUGAUUUAUGUUUUAUGCUUUAGAAGAGAGAUAUCCUAUCCUUAGCCUGGAAAAGAUAAGCAACUGCAAGCAUUUCAUAGUAGCUUUCUUUUUCCUUAAGUAAAUGCAUCUUUGAAACAGAAGAAGAUAGGCCAAUAAGAACAUACCAAGAUGCUCUAAGCAGGGACAUAACAUAACAUAAAUAAAGACAAAAUUCACUAACACAGUUUUGCUGGAAGAUAUGAUGCACAAACACAUUGCCUGUUAAGUCAUAAAGUCAGGUGUUACAGACAAUCAAUCAAGAGAAAGCCCAUUCUACAACCCUUCUAUUUAGCCCAAUAUAAAUAAACUUGCAUUGGCCUUCACACAAUUUACAGUAUUAUAAAUAAAAUUUUAUAUGCUAAACAAGAUUUUUUUUUUUUACUUUUAAGAAUAUUAUAAAUUGGAAAUUUAUUAUAAGAAUAUAGUGGUAUUUUAAGUGUUUUUUUAUAAAAUAAUAUAUAGUAUUAGCAAUUUAGUACAUAUUUUAUAGUUUUUAUACUAUUAAAUUACUUAAUAUAUGUUUAGUUUAUAAUUAUUGUAUGUUUAUAAUUUAUUUAAUAAUUUAAAAAGUGGAAAGAAAAAUCCUAACUUCUUAUUGGUAAAACGAUUAACAAGUGAUGGCAUUAUGGUCAUUUUAUACUUUCAUGUAUAAUUAUCGUGCCACGUGACUUUUUUUAUCAACAAACCCUUGCCACGUUUCUAAUAUAUUACAACUCAUUAUUUAUUUAUUUUUCGCAUUAUUUAUUAUAAAAAGAGACCUGAUAAAAGUAUAAUUUUAUAAUUUUUUUAACAAGUUACUACACUUAAUUAUUAUAAAUAAAAAUUGAAACAUUGGAUUGUUAUUUUUUAACAGGUUGGGAUACCAAUAGGGCUAGCAAUUUAUAUCGUGUCAUGUUUUAUCAUGUCGUAUUAAAAUAUGUAUAAUAUAAAAAUAAUUAAUUCAAACAUGACUCAUUUAAUUAAUAAUAUCAAAACAUCAAAUUCAUACACAAAUAUAUUUAUUAACUAAAUUAAAUAGGUUGGCUUGUAUAAUUUGUUUAAUAAAUUUAAUUUUUUAAAUAAAAAUAACCAUUAUAAUUUUAAAAAAAUUAUUUAUUUAAUUAUAAAAUAAUUUAAAUUUUUAUUUUAAUUUUAAAAUAUAAUUAUAUCUUUAUAAAUAAUAAAAUUAUUUAUAUAAACAUAAAAAGAGAGAAAAUAAAUGUAUUUAAUCAUAUUUAUAUGUAUCGUAUAUACCUGUUAACUUAUAAACCGUUUUUAAUAAAUAAAUUAAACAGAUAAAUUCAUUUAAAUCUAAUUUUUUUUCGUGUUAUAAAUAGGUUGAUCCAUUUAAUCUAUCCGAAUCUAUUUAUCUUAAAUUCAAACUCAUUUAAUUAAUAAUAACAUAAAAAAAAUUAAAAGUUACACUCUCUCUCUAUCGAUCCAAAAAUAUAAGGGGGAAGGCUUUUGUGGCUACGUAUCGUUUAAUAAGAUCGUGUAUAAGAUUAUUAGUCCUAGACACUAAAUAUAUAAUUAUUUCAAUUUCAAUAAAUGUGAUCCAUUUGAAAUAGAAAUAGAAAUAAUAAAUGUGAUAUUAAAAAAAGAAAUUGAUAUGAAUAUAAGUAACAAAAUCUUUGGUAAGAAUGGGCAAUUUCCCGUGUUUAAGAAAAAAAAAAAAAAACUUUUUGUCAUUGUAGCGAAGCAAACGCCUAUUUCUCAAUCCCUCUGUUUCUAUUUCAUAAAUUUCCUGUGUUCGCGGGUCUUACAGGCGACACGCUUUUCUCUCCUUACACAUUCAAUCCAUCAAUCAUCCUUCUAUUUUAUUUCCAUCAAAAAAAUCAUCCCUUUCCCUCUCUUCUUUUCCUCUCGAAUACAUAUCCAUAAACCAAACUUAACGAUGAUCAAUCUUUUGAGUUUUUAAGGUUCGUCUUUCGCUUUCUUUCCUCCAUUUCCUGCCUUUAAUGUCUGUUUCUUUAAUGGGUUCUUGUUAUUUUCUCCUUUUGUAUUAGUUUCUUAUCAAUCAUGCAUGAUCAUGUAUGUCUGCUUAAUGCAUGCAGACGUUAAAUCACCUCCAAAACAUUGUCUCUUUAUUGGGUCCCUUGUUUUUCUUUUUCGNNNUGUUCAUUUCAAUCAACGUAAGAUGUUAAAACUCUUACAAGCUUGUGCCUUUGAUGCAUGUAUACAAUGUGGGACCAGUUUAUAUGAGAAUUUGUAGCAAAAGAAAGGCAAAGAGAUGUCUGCAGGUUUUGUGGGUGUACUUGUUUCUGAUCCAUGGCUUCAAAGCCAGUUUACACAAGUUGAGUUACGCACCCUCAAGGCCAAGGUAAUAUGCAUUUUGGGUUGUGCUUAAAUUUAGUAUUUAAUUGUUAAAAUAUGCUAUAUGCAUAUGUUAAUUCGCAAUUUCUGAAUAGAUUUUGCAUUCUUGGUUCUAGUAUGUAUCAAUAAGGACAGAGGGAGGUCGCGUCACUGUGGGGGAUUUGCCUCCUGUUUUUGUAAAAUUGAGGGCUUUUACUGAGGUUUUUAAUGAGGAUGAGAUUAAGGCUAUAUUGAAGGAGUCUUAUUCCAAAGCAGAAGAAGAAUUAGAUUUCGAAACCUUCCUCCGGGUGAGUCUUUGAAAGUUAGAGUUUAUGUUGCUUUCAUUUGAUUUUCUCAUUCAUAUUACUUUGUUAUAUGAUUUUUGUGUUUAAAAUUAGAGCAUUUUUAAAGUUGAGAAGAAAUUUCAAUGAGUUGGAAAUAGAAAGAUUUUGCUUUCUUCUUGGCACUCUUGGUCUUUCCACGUUUGGUUGAUGAUUUCUUUUGUUAUUAAUUUUUUCUCUUUUUUAAGGAUUGAAGAUUUUGUUAAUUGGCAGGCAUAUUUAAAUGUGCAAGCACGAGUACCUGCAAAAUCAGGAGGAAAAAAGCUCAGAUAUUCUUCUUCAUUUCUUAAGGCAUCUACAACUACUUUUCGCCAUAACAUUAAUGAAUCCGAGAAGGCAUCCUAUGUUUCCCACAUUAACAACCACUUGGGAGAAGAUUCAUUCUUGAAGACUUAUCUUCCUAUAGAUCCAGCAACUAAUGCUUUAUUUGAUCUUGUGAAACAUGGAGUCCUUCUUUGGUAUGUGUCUCAUGCCACUAGCCAAUUCUGUCGAUUUACUUUUGAAAGGUGUAAUAUGAGUUUAUUGAUAUUGUUUUAAUACUUUAUGCAGUAAGCUUAUCAAUGUGGCUGUUCCUGGGACUAUAGAUGAGCGAGCUAUUAACACAAAAAAGGAAAUGAACCCAUGGGAGAGAAAUGAGAACCACACCCUUUGUCUCAAUUCUGCAAAGGCAAUUGGCUGCACAGUUGUCAAUAUUGGAACACAAGACCUUGCUGAAGCUAGAGUAAGUUGGGCUACUUGCAUCUAUUGAUUGGGAUCCUGGUGUUAAUUUUUUUUGUGGUUUGCAAUAUGCUGAAGAUUUCUGUUUCUUAUUCCUUUUGUCUUACAGCCUCAUUUAGUACUUGGAUUGAUUUCCCAAAUUAUUAAGGUACUCUACACUAACUUCUUCCUUUAUCCAUGUGAUUGCACAUUAUUGAGUAGGGUAUCGAACUCCUUAUGAGUUAUGAUGGAAAUAGUCUUAUUUGUAACUUGGACCUGAAAAGUUGGGUUAUUUGUGCUUAACAUUUUAACAUGUGGUAUUGCUGUCUGGUUACAACUUCAGAUUCAGCUGUUAGCAGACCUUAAUCUGAAGAAAACUCCUCAACUUGUCGAAUUAGUGGACGAUAGCAAGGUUUGGUUUUACCUUCUUCUAUAUUUUGAUAGUACAAGAGGUAGUAUAUAAAAGAUAAUUCCGAUACACUUGCUUACCAUUUUAGAAACUUGCAGGAUGUGGAGGAGCUCAUGGGUUUACCGCCUGAAAAAGUUUUACUGAAAUGGAUGAAUUUUCAUCUAAAGAAAGCUGGUUAUAAUAAAGAAGUUACAAACUUCUCUUCUGAUGUGAAGGUAAGGAAGUUAUUAUGGUUUAGUUGUUGAUGUCCCAAAUCAUAUACUGCUUAUGACUUAAAAUGCAUUUUAUGGUUGUAUCAGCUAGAGCAGAAUAUGUAUAUGUGUGUGUGUGUGUGUCUCUCUCUCUCUCUCUCUCUCUAUAUAUAUAUAUAUAUAUAUAUAUAUAUAUAUAUAUACAUAUAUAUGUCCUUGCAUUUUGUUAUUAUUAAACAUUUAAAAUUUUGUUAUGAGCAAAAAAAUAAUUUUUCUGCAGAGAUCUGGAAUAUGAAUAUCUUCAAGUUUUACUGACAUUAGCAUACUAUGAGUCCCACAUCACAUAUAGUCAUGAACUUCAUUUUCUAUUGCACUUUAUGUGUCAAAAUUGUAUCUUUUUGUCUUUCAUGGUUGUAAGUUUGAAUAUUGACAUUUUCAGGAUGGAGAAGCCUAUGUUUACCUGCUUAAUGCUCUUGCUCCAGAACUCAGUACCCCUGACACCAAAGCUGCUAGUAAUCCGGCCGAGAGAGCAAAAGUGGUUCUUGAGCAGGCAGAGAAACUGGAUUGCAAAAGAUACCUCAAUGCUAACGACAUUGUUGAGGGCUCCCCGAAUCUUAAUCUUGCAUUUGUUGCACAGAUAUUCCAGCACAGGUGAGAGAAGAGAUGAAUCUUUAUGUAGUUUUCGUGCAUAUGUAGUCUAUGUUGUUUGCCAUCUGCAAUUUUGGAGUCAGUUUAUUGUUACAAAAUGUGAGUUUUGUAUAGUAUAUAUGAGUUUGAGUGAUAGGAUUAACUCAUCUACUAUGGAUCAUCCAUUCCUCCAACACAAUCUGUAUCAUCUGUUUCUCAACUAAAAUAUGUUGUUUUGGUGUAGGAAUUCUACCUUUACAUAAGAUGCAGCAAGAUAUGCUGCCUCAGACCUUCCAUACCUCUGUAUUAAAUAAUUCCUUAAUUCAAUUACUAUUGAUGUCAAUCAUAAUUGGUUUAUUAUAACCUUACCAGAGGAGUGGCUCAGCAGAAGGGUGAAUUGGGUUGAGGGUGGUAUCAGGUUUUAACAGUGUGUAUGUGUGUGUGUGCUUCUUGUUGUUUAUUAAGCCCAACUUUGGGCAUAUCUCCUGGUUAAUAUGUUGAGCCAUUUUGGUAUGGUUAAACCGGGUAGCAAACAAACUGGAAAUGAAAGUGAAAUGAAAAAUUACUAUAAAUGGUUGAAGCAUGUUGUCUUGGAGUCUUUCACCUCUGCCAGCAAUUAAAUAUUCACUUAUGUCUACUUAUCCGCUUUCCUUCACAUUGAUGUUCUCAUAUUGGUAGUCCUGGUGAUUUUGGUUUUUGUUCAUGCCAGAGUAAAUUCUGGCUUAUUCUCUAUAUUCUCUUUCCCUGUAGGAAUGGAUUGUCAACUGAUACAAACAAGAUGCCUGUUGCUGAGAUGAUGGAGGACGACGCUGAAACUUCUCGUGAAGAGAGAUGUUUCCGGCUGUGGAUCAACAGUAUCGGAAUCGUUACAUAUGUUAAUAAUGUUUUUGAGGAUGUCAGAAAUGGGUGAGCUUUAAUAUUUCCCCUCAAGCAGUAUAAGCCUUGUUAACAUUUGAGAUAUGAAUCACAGACACGGCUACAAAUACGGGACAGAUAUUGUAAAAGCACGAUAAAAUAUAUAUAGAAAAUGGUAGUUAUCAUAAUAUAAAUUUACAUAAAUAACAUUUAUAAAAAUUAAACUAGAAGUCUAAAAUAUUUUCAUCUCUUCAUCUUCACCCACUUCAUCUAAAAACAAUAAUAUAUGAGAAAGAAACAAGUCUCAUAAUAGCUUUUGAGGUGGAGAAAAAGUGGGAACAAAUUGAAGAGAUAGAAAGAGAGUUCUUUUUCUUGAAAUAAGGUGAGACCUAUAGAGAUUAAAUUUCGUAAGAAUUUUCUACUUAUGUUUUAUAUUUUUAUAGUUUAAAUUAAAAUUAUUUUAUAAAGUACUCCAUGUUUCUCAAAAUUAAACAAGUUUAUUACUUUUUGUGUCCCCGAGUGUUUCUUCCUCUAAGUAGAAGAAAUAAAUGGUGUAUCCUAUACGUGUUCCCACUUGUCUGUGUCCCCAAAGUGUCCGACACGCAUAUAGCAACCCCUAGGAGUUUUGGUGCUUCAUAGAAUUUGAGUAACAUUUAUUACUUGUGCUUGCAGUUGGGUUCUUUUAGAAGUGCUGGACAAGGUUUCACCUGGCUCUGUUAAUUGGAAGCAAGCAACUAAGCCUCCUAUAAAGAUGCCAUUCCGAAAAGUUGAGAAUUGCAACCAAGCUAUAAAGAUAGGGAAGGAAUUGAGUUUCUCUCUUGUGAAUGUUGCUGGGAAUGAUAUUGUCCAGGGAAAUAAGAAGCUCCUAUUAGGUUAGUUUGAUUUGAUUUUAACUAUCAUCUAAAAUGUUGUGAUGUGACAACUGUUUUGCUUUGUUCUACACAUAUUUAUUGGUUGUGAUUUCCAAGUUAUUGAAUAUCUGAAAUAAAGGUAUGCUGGUUUAGAAUUUAUUAUUAGAAGCCAUAUGUUGCCUUAAAUCCUUUGUGUAUUCAAGUGUAAUCCUUUGUUUAUAGAUAAGUUGACUUCAAUUGGGAAUUAUAGACUUAUUCAACCAACAAUUUCUUUCACCACUAUUUGUUUCUUCUCCUUUCUUAUUUAGCAAUUUUUUUCCCGAGUCUUUAAUACCGGAAAGAAUUGACUCUUGCCUUUUUGUUCAACCCACAGCAUUUCUGUGGCAGCUAAUGAGGUUUACGAUGCUUCAACUCCUGAGGAACUUAAGAUCGCACUCCUCCCACUCCCAAGGUAAAGAGAUUACAGAUGCUGACAUUCUGAAGUGGGCAAAUAGCAAAGUGAAGAAAGUAGGUAAAACAUCUCAAAUGGAGAGCUUCAAGGUAAUCAAGGAAACAAUAACAUUGUUUACAAAUAUAUUGCAAUAAAUAAUUAACUUUUGGCAUUUGUUUUUCUCUUCUAGGAUAAGACACUUUCAAAUGGAGUUUUCUUUCUCGACCUUCUUGGUGCUGUGGAGCCAAGGGUAGUCAAUUGGAGUGUUGUUACUAAAGGAGAAAGUGGUAUGCCAUUUAGUAUUUCCCAUUGUAGGAUGUAUGCAAUUUGAAAAUUAUGGCACUGAUUCCCCAAUCGAAUUAGAAACCUGCAAAGCUUAUACCAUUUUGUCUUCUCAACUAGCACUAUAUUGCGAUGGAAGUGCAUAAUUGGUUCAAUAUACUUUAUGUGAAGCUUUUAAGGCAAUAUCUCACCUUUUGCUAUUGAUAUUGCAGAUGAGGAUAAGAAGUUAAAUUCCACCUAUAUAAUUAGUGUUGCCAGGAAGCUUGGUUGCUCCAUUUUCUUAUUACCUGAAGAUAUUAUAGAGGUUAGUUUUUGUGCUAGGAUAUCUAAGUUUCUAAUUGCCAUUGAUAGUAUGUUGGAAAACCAAAAUUUUUAUGCUUCUCUGUUUAAGUUACCUGCGUUAACUCCAAUAGAGAAACUGUCACUGCAAUAUCUAAUUGGAUUAGCUAUUUAAAACAGAGAACUAUCUCCAAAUAUUCAAAGUUGAAGGUGUCAUGAGAGUAAUCUUUUCUAAUGGUCCAUUGAACAUGGAUAUGAAUGUUAGUAGAAUCCUCUCACUCCUGAGAAAUAGCAUAGAGUCCUAACCCUUUUUAUUUGGUCAUGAACAAAUUUACUACCAAGAAAUAAGAUGAUAUUCCUUGGUGCAUGCCUUUUCCUGUUCAUGAUAGAAUAAUAUCAAACUUGGGCUAAGAAGCAGCUAAAGCAAUAGAAGAGCAAUAAAAGCAUAUCAAGUUUAGUGACUCUAUGCAUUGCAAUUUUAGUAUGGUAGGGAAAGUGAGAGAAGAAGGUUCCUCAUAAGCAAUCACUUCAGGAGUCAUACCAAGGGAUGAGAAACAUGAGAAGGAUGCUGCUCGUGGAAACAAGUUAAAGGAAUACAAAUAGAUAGGUGUAAUGCGAGUCUGUGAUCAUAAACUCUUAAUCAAAUUGAAGGAGAAGUCAUAUAAGAGUACGUAUUCAGAUGCCUAUCACUUGUGAUAGGAGAUGUUGGAUGGAAUAAGCAUUCCAGUUUCAAAAUAAGUGCGGCAAAGAUAAGGAUGCUAUAGUAAAUUUGCAGAAGUACAAGAAAGGAAAAUGCAAGGGUUGGGUUCAUUGGCGAAAAUAUAGUAGUGGCAGCAUCAACAAUAAAACUGAGGGUGGUUGGUUUAAGAUUUUGGUUUUGUCUAGUAUAAGUUACCAUUACAGAAAAUAUGCACAUUCAAGAGAAAUCAUUAAACAUAGCAAAAUGGAGGAAUUUGAUGCCAACCCCAUUUAUACUGGGAUUUUCAUUGAGUUGACAAGUGCUGGAUAACUUUUUCUCUUUAAGAAAAAUGCAAAUAAUGUCUUAGUGAGUUGCUACACUACUUGGACAGUAGAAAUAAAUCAUGAUUAUUUGUUUUCCUUUUGAACUUGGUAUUUUCCAAAUUCUGUUUGGUUCUCUUUAGGUGCCGUGACUUGAAUUUCACAAGAGACCCUAUGGAAGGGUACCAUUAUCUUACAUUCAUGAGUUGAUGCCCAUUGAUCAAUGGCUAUAUAAGUUCGGGUCUUGCUGUCGAUUUAUAUUCUUUAUUGGUUUGGAACGUUUAACCAUCAAACUAUAUGCAUGGUUAUGACAGGUAAACCAGAAGAUGAUGCUUACUUUGACUGCAAGCAUAAUGUUUUGGAGUCUGCAGCAUCAGGCUGCGGAGCCAGAGUCAUCUGCUGCUGAAGACAAUGCUGAUGCAUCUUCUACAGCAUCAAUGGAAGGCGAGAAUGAGGCAGCUCUGGCUGGUGAAGUUUCUGAUAUGACUAUGGACGAUGCUGCUUCAGAUUCGGCUAUGUCUCCUUAGGUUGGCAAUGAAGAAUAGGGAGAAUGACCUCAAAAUGCAGCAUCAUUUUUUUCAUCAGAAGAGCGGGAAAGAAACUAGUUUCUGGCUGCAUACAUAUGGCAGAUAAUGAAUUGUCGUAGGAAAGAGCAGUCAUCUUUAAAGUGCUCAUAAGCCAUGGAAGGAGGGAAAAAAUAACUAUGUAAAUUACCAUUUUGUAAGUAGAGAUUGCUGUGCUUAGGCAUUUCUUUAAACCAAAAAGAUUGCACUUACUGUGCUGAAUAAUUUCACUGGAAGAGAAAACAAUUAAUAUUAUUUGCUGUUGCAAAAAGAAAAGUGUUAUUGAUAGAUAGCAAUUGAAGGCUUGGCCGUCAAUGGGAAGAUGAUGUGUUUCUUUUCUCAAUUUAUGGAUGGGCAUCUUCAUCCCACAUCUAUUCAUCCAUUAAUGUCUCGCUUAAUCAAGUUCAUUGGGAAAAAAAAAAUUAUAUGAAACCUAAACUGCCUCUCUUCUAAAACCCAUCUCUCUCUGGCAUGAAAGAAAUUUAAUAUUAAAAAAAGAGCAUCAGAAAGCAAUUCAAUAAGAGAUCUUUGAGGAUAUCUGUUAGUUACAGAAUGAAUUUUCACUAGAAAAGAAAGGGAAAAUUCGGAUGAGAAUGGUGCUUGGGCGGCAGAACUUACAGGCUCAAUUCUGUCUAUAGUUACAGAACUGCGAUAUAAUAUAGACAUCAUUAUACAACAUUUAUUUAUAGACACUAAAAAAAUUGUCUGCAGAAUUUCAACUUUUAAUCCUGUUAUUUUUGUCGUUUAUAUCAUCCCUGUCUAAUUUUGUUUGAGGGUAGAAUGAAGGAAAUACAAAAAUCAUUCAGAGAAAGCUUCAGGGCCAUCUGUAGGCUCAUCAGACUUUUCUUUCUCCGCCACAAGCAUAAGCAUCUCAAGGCGCUUGUCAAAUAGUAAUGCGCUCUCGUCUCUCUUGUCAAGCUCAGCAGCCUCAGCUUCAAGCCAUUUCUCUCUCAAAUCAUCAAGAAGAUUUCCCUGGUCUGUAUUUAUUAUAGCUCCUGGAGCACUUGGAGCUGUGGUGCGAAGCGAUGAGUCUCCAGAUGGAGGAGGCAGUGUUAGAAGCAUAGCUCGAAAUUCAAGAGUGUCAGCAAAUGUCUCAAAGUCGCAAGCUAUUAUAUCCAGACAAUACUCUCGGAUCUUCAAGACACCGUACCUGAACAUGUUAAUUCGACAUUGUACAGUUGAAUUAAUGCCAUCUGCAGAAAUGAAAUUAUUUUCUUGGCAUCUCCUUACAGCAAAAAUGCAGAACAAAAUAGUUUUUUUUUUUGACAUUCAGAUAUGCUGAAACUGAGAUCUAGGAGCAGAAAACAAAAGUCUUAUUUAAGGAUCCUAAACCUGCAUAUGACGAUUAAGAAACAUCUCAGGCACAUGACCAAUCACUAAUCACAUACAUACUCCUUUAGAAGUCCUACAUAUUUUUAACUUGUAUCCACCUAUAUACUUUAAAUAAUAUUAAUCAAAACAAUAAAAAUAGAAAGUAAGCAACUUACAUGUCUGCCAAAAUAAGCCAAUGACAUAGUUCUGCAGGUGAAACCAUUUCCAGGUGUGGCAACAGUGCAUCUGCUACAGCACGCUUAAGAGGAAAUAAUAGAUACCUUGAAGCAGCAUCAAACAUUUCCUCUGCCUGAGAAGGACAUUCGGUUGGAAGACAUAUUUUAACUUAUAUAACAAGCCAUUACAGUUAAAAAGAAGAAAGAUAUACCUGAUCUGGGUAUAUUUCCUUCAGGCUGUCAGUAUACCUAAACCAACCAAGGUUCCGAAUAAAUCCUCAGAUAAGUAAGUUUGGCAUCAGAAUAAGUAAUACAAUUACAAACAAAGGUUGCAAAUAUUCUGAAGGAGGAAUAUUUUUGCAACACAAUACAAUAAUAAUGCUGAAUAGGCAACUUAUAUCUGGUUAUUACAUCAACAAUUUCUAGGUUUACAGAACCACUGAUGUCAGAGAUGAUGGUGUUGGAAACAUAAGACUAAGGCUGGAAGUAACAAUAUUAUCUAAAAUAAUAAAAAUAAGCUAGCCACUUGUAGAAAGCAGAAAACACUUACAUAUACUCCAACAUUUUCUCCAAUGUUUCCAUGCUCAAAUCAUGUUCUACAAGACAUGGAAGACUAUCAAUAGGUAAUCCAUCCUUCCCUUCAUGAAAAUCCUUCAUUCGGGACAAUCUUGCUCUAAAGUACUCUGACCUCGAUGCUAAAAUCACUUGAUGGCAGCGGAAAAUCUUCUUAUCCACUCUUAUACAAACAUCAGCAAGAUCAUCUACAGAAUCGCUCAACUGCACUGCAUCGAAGGAAUAUACUAACCUAUCAACACUGACAUCCAGGUUUUGUUCCAAGGUGGAUUUUGCUAGGGAAGUCUGAAGGACGCGGUGCAAGGCAGAAGGAAGCCGAUCUUCCUCAGGAAGCGAUGCACCCUGUAAGAUAUACCGCUUCUGAGAGUUGUCUACAUCUCUUAAUGCUUUGUACUCUGCAUAUUUUUGAUGAUACAGUUCUUUCUCAAGGAUCCUUUUUAAGGAUUCACAUUUGCAUACUUUGCAGAUUCUUACAAGAUCUUCCAUGUCAUCCACUAUAAUCUCUAGUCUGUCAGAAUAGAAGAAGUGCAUGAGGCUAUAAAGAGCAGGAUAAGACAGCUUUUCCUUUCCAAAUCUUACUUCAUGCCGGUCUCUCCAAUCAGUUUCAAACUUCGUCUUAAAAAAUGAUGACCGAGCACUUAAUAUGACUCUGUGAGCUUCAAUAGGCCUACCUUGAACAAAAAAUGCCACAUCCGGAGGGAAGUGGUUGGAAUUGGACACCCCAUUGGAUGAAAGACCUACUCAAUAAUGUCACACGUCAAAUGCACAUCCAUAUUUUUCUGAGAAGAAAAAAAAUGCACGACCAUAAUAAGCUGUCUGGCAGUAGAAAACUUUAUAAACCAUGGCCUCGCCACAUUCUAGACUUGACCAGCAAAAAUAGACUUUAAAAGUAUUCAAUAUUUUUCACUAUGUAUGCAUAAGCAGAGCCUUCACAAAUGUUUGAAAUGGCAGAAGCACUUAAUUCAGAUCUUCUCACGCUUGCCAUCAUUUCUAUUACCCGAAAACAAAUAGCAGAGGAAGAAAGUAUUGCUGAUCUUCUUAGUGUAAAAUACACAGAUAGGAUUCAUCCUUACUAAUAAGAAGGUCAACCAUGAUUGUACAAAACGUUAUGGUUAGAUUAUCCGUUAGCCUUUCUACUCAGACAACGGGAUCACAAACUUUGAGAACAGUUCAUCCAAUUACAUCUCUUCCAUAAAUUCUCCAAACUAGAUCCUCUUCCCCUAUCCUUUUUUCAUACUGAACCACUUUAGUUGGACUAAAUUCUUGCAUCUAUUACUUGCCUCAAAUUUAUUUUUUUAUAAUCUCAACGACUAACUUCUAACUUAUCCUUCUGUGCAUAUUCAACAUAUAAGAGAUUUGUUUCUUUCGUGCCUAAAUCAAUUUAUUUUAAGCUGCACAUACCAACUUUCCUAUAACUAGACAUUUGAAGUAUUAACUACUAUUAUGAUCACAAACCAGUACAAUAAGAUAACUAACUCUGAAGAAAGAUUAUAGGAAAAGAAAGAACUUUGAUUCCAAAUAUGACUAUCAUACUAUCACAUAAAUUCCUCUAGCUUACAAGCAGCAGACACCCAGUGCAUGAAACUCUUGAAGUUCAAUCAUUUUAUUGUUGAAAAAAUUAACAUUCAUUAAUAUUGUUCACAAGUUCAAAUGCACCCUAUUUCUCCAAUUCAACACUAAAUAAAUAAAUUUGUUAUUUGACCAUAAUAUAACAAUAACAGUUAAAAAAAAAAAAAGAAGCAGCAAUUACACAUGAAAUUAGAAAAAAACUAUAUCUUUCUUCACCAACCUGGAACAUGAUGAAAGCCACCGAAUUCAGCUUGUUCCAGAAAAGCCCUAUUACUGAAACAACCCAAAAAAAUAUCUCUCAGCGCCGCUUGUAACGGAGCUAACGGAGGAGGUCUAGCUUCAAAAGCUUUUAAAAGCUUUCUGACUUUCAAAUUCAAAGCAGCAUAAUGACACCUAUCUCCAUCAAAUGUAUGCUCUGAGCAUAUAGCUCCAUUCUCAAGCAACAUUCUUGCAGCAUCCAGAUGCCCAGCUAAGCAUGCGUAGUAUAGAGCCACUGAGUCCCACUGGUCACGCGCGUUCACAUUAACCCCUGAUUCUAGCAAGUAUGUUAGACGGUCCACAUCGCCGGCACGCGACGCUUCAAAGACGUCGCCGUUUGGGACCUUUUUUAGUGGAAGGGAUGAGGUGAAAUCUGAUGGGUCUAGGUCUAUUCCAUCCAGUUCUUCUUCUAGUGUCCAUCUGGGUUUUGCAGUUGGGGUCAUUCUUUUCCCUUUUUUUCUGUUUUUGGGUCAAUUGAUUAUUGUAGGUUUAGUUUAAAUUGGUGUCAAUUUUGUUGAGGGGUUCACAGUGUCUAUAGCCAAAGGUGCCAAAGUGUAGGAUCAUCUGAUACUGUUUUUCUGUUUUACUUUUAUUUUGUUUAGUUUUUAUAUCCAGAAAUGGAUAAUUGUUGCUAAAGAAAUGGAUAAUUUAAGUGUAUAUAUAAUAUUAUUUCUUUUACAGAUAAAUAAUGUGAAUUAAUAUAUGACUUUUAAGAAAAAUAUUAUUCCUAAUAAGAAAAAGUUUAUGGAGUAAAUAGAGAUAAAAUUGAAUUUUUAAUUUUAUUUUCUUUUUUAAGAAAAAGAAAUUAUAUAUCAAUAAUUCAAAGCAUCAGAAAACAAUAAGGUUAGAAUGAAGGUUGGAGGUUCAAAACAGACCCUAAGGCCAGCAUGUGAAUGAGGAGCUCUUGCUAACAUGUAAGCAAUUUCAUUAGCUUGCCUUUUGACAAAAAUAACAGAAUAAGAAUUGUUUUCAGCUAACAAUUCAGCACACUCGCGAAUCAAGGAACCAAACUCGUCAACACUGGCCAAGAAAUUAGUUACUGCAUGAACAAUCUGUUGACAAUCCAACUCAAAAAUAACUCUCUGGUACCAUUUCCCUCUAAUCCAAGAAAGUGCUUCUCUUAGCCUCAUCGUCUCUGAUUCACGAACUUGAACCAGCCCCUCAUAACAGUUGGAAGCACAACACAUGAACACUCUUGUUGCAUCUCGAAGGACCAUUCCAAUUCUUGUCUUUCAUUGAGAGUGGAAUAAGGUUGCAUCCACAUUACACUUUAGAUAAUUAAUAGGAGGCUUUUUCCAGCGCACUACCGACAUCUCAGAAUUUCAUGUUCCCUGAGAGCACAAACUAGGCAGACUGCUAGCCAAUCACACAGCAUCCCCACCGCUAUAUGAACAGUUCUAUUAGCCUCCAGAGGAGUCCCAUUCCAUAAUUUUUCAUUUUGUUGUUUCCAAAUGUGCCACAAGAUAACACACAGUUUUCCAAGAAGGGCUUCAUCGUGGGAUAAUAACAUAUAAAAAAACCAAUCUGUAAAACCAGAUGCACGUGUAGCAGUAGACUCUACAAUUCUUUAUGAGCCUAACAGGAUUUGGCAUAAGAUCAGUGAAUGUAAACAUGCCAGGCAUUUUCCAUAGGAGCAUUACACAUUAAGCAGGAUAGAGGAACAACCAUACCUCGCCUGUGAAGAUUGAGACAGGUUGGGAUGCAUUCGCUGGACACUCUCCAUAGAAAGUUCCUAACUUUUUGCGGUACUUUGAGCUUCCACAAAUAUCUCCACUCACCCUAUACCUGGUACUGAUCAGAAUGUCCCAGUAUAUAUCCAUAAUAAGAGAGUAACCAGAUUUAAUUGAAUAUUUUCCGUUCUUGCUGAAGUGCCAUAUUAAUUGAUCUGCACCACCUUUACAACUUAAGGGAAUAUUGAUAAUUUCGUUCAAAUCUCUUAUCAUGAAAUAUUUCAGACAGUGUUAGCUUAUACAGUUACCGUAUCUAGGAACAUAUUCCAUCUCUAUUCUAGUUGUCCAGGAAUCAUGAGAUCUCUGACUCUCAAAUCUUCCAAUUUUAGAAUAGGCGGGGUGCUAAAUUUGAAAUUUAAAAGGUCUCCCAGCCAUCGGGUACCUCUGUCCAACAUAGCUCGAGAAAGAAUAAUGCUCCGCCAAGUGAAACUUGGAUUAUGCCUUCCUUGGCAUUUAAAAAUCCCCUCUAGGAAAAUAUUUGGAUUUGAGAAUCUGACAUACAAGAGCAUUAGGAUUUGAAAUUAAUUUCCAUCCAAUCUUCCCAAGCAUCGCUAUGUUAAACCCGUGAAAAUCUCUAAACCCCAUACCUCCAUGUUCCUUUCUCACACUCAGCUUACUCCAAUCCAACCAUUUAAUUCAACAUUUGCCGUUGUUACCCGAGCCCUACCAAAAGGAAUUAAGAAUACUUUCCAGCUCAUCCAACCUAGAGGAAGGAAUGAGGAUCGAGAUCAUGAAAUACAUAGGUGUUGACCCAAUUUAAUUCUAAUCUCCUCUAUUUUAUUACUAUGAACAAACGUUUCAAAAAAAAAAAACCAUAUCAGGCCGAUGAGCUUUAACCAGCUCACAUAGAGCACGAAUUGCACAAUGAUGGCCUAAUCCUCUGCAAUUCCAGCUUAUAGCAAUCAUGGGAUCUAGCAGGUCUGGAGUCUAGAUCCUACCGGUAAAAAAAGGCUCAUUUGGGUUCUGUUCUGUAACAACUGAUACCUCUGCAUCAACAACCAUUGGCACUCCAAGUGAUUCAUCAAUUAGGCCAGCUCUAUGUCUUUUUCUAUCCUCAACUAACUCAAGCCCACUAGCUUCCUCAUUCUCGUCUUGGAUUGCCUCAGUAACUGUUAAGGCAGGUUCUACUAUUUCCUUCCCAGCACGUUGCCCAAUUUGAGCCGCAAUUCUCUCCCCUAACAUCGACUCUUUCCCUCCAAAUUUUCUUUUCAAGUUGGGAACUGGGUUAACUCGUCCCAAUUCUGAGACUGACUGACCUCUCUCUUCAGCAUUCUCAAGCUUAUCCCCAGCAUUGUUCCUUAACCAUUUUUCACCCCCUUGGGAUGUACCCUUAUUCAUCGGAGCACGAAGCCAUUGACCUCAUUCUCAGGGAUGGUGAAUAUUUUCUCACAAAAAUAAUCAGAAUGUUCUAAGCAUUCAUAUAUAAAGCAAAAAAUACUUAAGUCUUUCAUAUUUAAAGCUUACGAAAAACCAGUCUCCUUUUGGCUUUUUAAUCUUUUUCCUGCUUUUCAGAGGUUCUCGAACAUCUAGACGAACACGAUGACGCAUAUGAUUCCUCCAUAUCCCAGUGUUAUUGUUAACAUCAUAAUCAAGAAACGUUCCCAAGAAGUUCCCAAUUUAUUUACCAACGGAUUCAAACAUAUAGCCAAUAGGCAAAUCAUGGACUUGGACAAAAAAAUCUACAUGAAAUAACGGGACCUGACUAGGCAUAUCUUCAUAUGUCAGUUGAUGAACAGUAACAAGUGAUUGUCGUACGUCGAGGGCCCUCCUUCGACCAGCAUUUUAAGAUCAAUCUCAUGAAAGAAUUGGGAAAGGAAGACUUGCGAUUGUAACUCUAUAAUACAAAUCCCUCUCCUGGGCCUCCAAGGGCUGGCAAGACAAUCUCGCAUUAUUUUAAAAUUCAUGGAUAUGUCCAUCAAGAAUCUUCCCACUAGACAGAAUUCAUAAUUACCCUCUUGGGAUGGUAGAACUUCGCUUCUAAAUUCAGAUCUUCGAUUUCAGCGUUUGAAAGAGAUUGGUUUGCCAAAGACGGAUUCAUGGUAGUCAUGCACUAAAGACAACAGAGCACACAAAACAAGGGGGCUGAAAGAGACAAAGAAAAAGCUCUCAAGCCAUGAGAGAAAGACCUACACUCUCAAACGUGGAGAGGACAACGCAAUUCUAAUCUCUUUUCUUUUUUUCUUUUAAUUUUACUUUGUUUGAGAAGAAUGAAAGGUAAAUGCAGAUUUUAGGAGGUAAUAUUGAAUUUUUUAAUUAUAACUUUCUCAAUUCACCUAUUUUAUGGGUAAUUUGAAGAGUUUUGAAGGUAUUCAAAAACCCUACAUUCUAAAUUGUACUUCCUUUCCAAACAAGUGCCAGAGAUUUCAAAACUUUAUAAAAUCUUAAAAAAUCUCCAUCCAAAUGAUAUUUCUAUUUUCUAAGUGUAUUUUCGUUGUUCUAUUGAAUAAUUAUUGGAGGUUAUGCUUAUAAUUUAUGAAAUUUUAAUGUAAUUUAAGUACUUAAUUAUGAUUUACUUGUUUUUAAGGUAUGUGGCAAUUCCAAAUAAAUAUGAAAGCCUUUUGGAUUAAAGACCGACUUUGGGAUCGGUCUUGAAGAGAAGUGGAUAUCAGACUAGCUGUUUGGAGCCAAGAAAAAGGGUUUUAGACUAAACCAGUUCAGAGCUGAGUAUGAACUAAAACCCGUCAUGGGAUUGAUUGAACUUUGAGAAGAGUCGGCAAUACUAUUGCCAACCGGCUCUACAACCGGCCCUAGCUUAUGGAUGGAUCAAGAUUUCAGGGACUGUUGUGAACCGGUUCUUCAAUCGGUUCACCAUCCUAAGUGUUUCAGGGCCGGUUGAUGACAAAGAUGAGGUGUUAAGUGGGUUUCUACAUGUGUAAUUUGGUUGUUUAACAAGUGUAAGAAGGGUUUUUAGGUUGAACUUAGACCUAGGCCCAUAAACUCUCAUUUAUAUUUCAGUUUUUAAAGGUUGUUCAGUUUUAAAGGGCGGAAUACUCUUUGAGAAGAGAUUUGAGUUCUAGCUACAAGUUUGAAGAGAGCUUUCCAACUUUCAAAAAUCAAAGUAGUACUUACCUUAAUUUUUCUCUAGAUGUUUUCUUGUUUGUGUCAAUUUUAUUUGCUUAUAUGUAACUAAACUCUCAUUCUAGAGAGAAUGAUAUAAUCUUUGGUAUUUCAAUGUAUAGUUCUGUGCAUUCUUGAUCUAUUUUCUUUAUAGUUAUUGUGAGUUUUGUAAUAUUGGCCACCAUAAUAUUUUUAUUUUAGGAUUUGUAUAAUAAAGUGUAAGAAGAAAUAUAGAUUUAUAUCUAGAUCUAGAAAAAUAAACAUAAUAAAUUAGAUAAGAAAAAUAUAUCUAAUUAUUAUGAUGUAAGAAUUGUUGCUUAAUGAGUUUGGUAAGAUAUUGAUUUUUGAGAAUAAAUAAUUUCUUAGUUAGAUUCAUAUUAAUUGCUUGGAAAAGAUUUAAUGUAUUUUUUUGGAACAAUUACAUUUAAGAAUGAACUCUAGAAUUUGAUAUCUAUAGUUAAUCCCAUCAUAUGAAAUCUGGAUCUCUAGUAUUUUAAAUCUGAUAAUUUGUACGAAUGCGUAUUUGCUUGAAACAGUUCAAAAAUAACUAUUUUAUAUCUUUGUACUCAUGCGAAUCCUUUUAUUAUGCCUCGAUGAAAGUCUGAUUGUUAUAAAAUAAAGGAUUAAAAUAACUUUGUCUAUGUGGUUAAAAUUUUAUUAUUACUUUCUUUAGUUUUCUAUAAUUUUCACUAUGAAACUUUUACAAAUUGUUUUACACGUUUCUUAAAUAACCAUUAGAUCUUAUUCUAGUGUAAUCGACGUUGACGUCAUAAUUAUAUUACAGUUGCUUUGUACAUUUGCUGGCGAAGAAUUUAGUGAUCACCAAACAACCUAUAAGGUUAGACAUAGCAGAACAAACACAAUAGAGACAUUAGUCAUUACAUGAAUAUGCUUCCAACUGAAAUUGAAAGCACCAAUAUUUGUUGCUAGUAACACAAUUAAGAUAGCCAUUUUCUAGCAACCAUUUCUUGACUGUCAAAUGUCAGAAGACGUGUGGAAGAGAGGGACAAAGUUCAGUUAGGUGGAAAAAGAUGACAUUACUUAGACUCCAUUUCUUUUGCGGACAUUAACUUGUUUCGGGAUUUUCUGUAGAAAACAUUUUCUAGGAAAACAGCUCAUCUUCUGUUGUAUGAUUGCAUACAGAAAAUCAUAAGAAAAUUAUUAUAUUUUUGUGGCGUCAUUUGAAAGAUAUUACUUUCUUUUCAAUGAAAAAGUAUUAAAACUUUAAAAACUCAUCAACAUUCAAUAAUUUUAAUUUAUAUUUAAAUAUACAAAAAUUACACAAAAAUAGCAUAAACAAAAACUUUUCCGAUGACUGUCCAGUGACCGGCCCCGGAUUCCAUGAAGCUGAUUGCCGGUAGUUCUUAUUUUAAUUGAUAAAAGUCCAUAAAAGUCCGAAAAAUGACUUUCCCUUUUCAAAAUGCAAAGUUAUUUUCAUAAAGAAUGGCUUAGUAUUCCCUUUAAUGAGGAAAACAUUUUCCAUGGACCAAUUUUCCUGGAUGCACCAAAUACUAAAAGAAAUAAAAACUGUUUUUCCUGGAAAAUAUAUUCCACGUAACAUGGAAAGCUUUAGUCAUCACUGAUGCAUCUAAAGGACGGGAUGAAAAUGUCAUUUAGUUGCCAGCAAGGAAGUUAUUAAGAAAUUAAAAUUCUGGAGACCCAUCGUGUAUGUGUGCAUGAAAAAUAUCAGCAGUUGCUAAUAAAUAGAAACAUGCCAUAAACAACAUUUAUAUCGACCAAUAUAGGAUAGGGUAUGAGUUUCAUAUGCUAGUUUUAGCAUGGGAGUUGUUCUUUUUAUUGUUUUGACUAUGAUUGUUGAUUUCCUCUUUGUGCUUACAUGUUUGAUCUGAUACAUGAAAAUACUGUCUUGAUGAUUAAUCUUUUGAACAGGGUUUCCUUACCUUUGUUGAGAAGAGUCAGACAUGCAUUACUUCAGAUGAUGUGGUGCUUGCAGAUAAACUCUCUUGCAAGCAUAUUAUGGGAAAUAAAGCCCAAUUUGGCCACUAAUCUUAUUGUUCGGAUUUAAUUUAAUUAUUUUUAAAAAAAUUAGAUAUUUUAGCCUAAAUUUUUAUAUAUUUAGCUAAAAUUAGCUCUAUUUUUUAUAAAAAUAAGAGAGUGAGUUACACACUCCUUAAAAAAAGAGUGGAUAGAAUGAAAAAAAAUAAAUUAAUUUCUUAUAUUAAAUUAUUUGAAUUAAAAAAUAUAUGUUGAUAUUUAAACAAAACAUAAUAAGAAAAUAAAUAUUGUUACAGUGUUCUUACUUUUUCUUUUUAAUAGUAACAGUGAAUGAGACAAUUAGAGUAGUAAUGGUGCCGAGAGAGAUGAAGGUGAGAGUAGUUUCAAUGAGAAUAAUAAUAGUAAUAGCUAUUUAUUGAUUAAUUAUAUUAAUUAUACUAAAACUAUAAAAUAGUUUUUAAAUAAUAUUAUAAUUUUUUAAUUAUUUUUUAUUUGCAAAAAGAGUGACUCUCACUUUCUCUUUUUUUUCAAAAUAAAAUUAAUUUGAGUCAAAUAUACAAAAGGUUUGGGCUAAAAGUCCAUAAAUUUAUGGACUAAAUUAAACGUGUGUAUGGCAAGGUUAAUGGCCAAAUUGCACUUUAUUCCUAAUUACAGUUUAUUACUAUCAUGUGUGUAUCCCAACCCUCCCCUUCUUUUCUAGAUCUUAUUUUCAAGAUUUUAGGUGAUUUUUCCUAUAACAGGAUGUUCCAGCAACCAAGGACAAAGAGGAGGAGACUUUUGAUCAAGUUUGUGCAAUUUGUGAUGAUGGUGGUAACAUUUUGUGGUAUGCACUUAUUUCAAAAAAUCAAUUUUAAUUGCAUUUUUUCCCUUUUACACAGCUUUUAUGUCAUUUUUGCCUGUGAAUUCAUGCUUUUUUAACUACUUAAUGCUUCUAUUCUUUGGAAUUUGCUUUUGCGAGGGGAGUGUAGGACCGAAUGAGCAUCACAAUAACAAGCCUUAAUACUCAACAAAUUGUCGGGUUCUCUCAAGAACAGGUCGCACUUACUAGUAUGUUGGGACAUAUCACAAACUUAGAUCUUGGCGCAUGAGGACAAGUGCCUUUUUGAGGCAGGGAAAGAUAUUAUGAUUCUUAAUUUCAAGUCUAAUAGCAGUAGGAAUUCUGUUACUGUUAUGUAUAUUAGUGCAUUCAAUUUAUUCUAGUAUUUAGAUGUGUUUAAUGUUCCUAUAAGUGUGGAAUUAGUGGAUGUGGGAAGUUAAAGUGGGCAGUUAUCUCCAAUCUAAAUGCAGAAGUUUAUGAAUGAAAAUUAAGUUGCAUUUCCUACGGGAAAAAGCCCAAGUUCCCUAAGAACUUGAGAUCGAAGGAUUCUUUCUAAUGAGCCCUUAUUAUCCUAUUAUUUCUAGUGCAAUUACCCCAUAACUAGAUUCAGAAACUGGGACUGUUACAACCUGCAUCUGUACAAUUUAUACUAUAUAUAGCUUUAUGAAAGUAGCAACUUAAAUAAGAAAUAUUGCAUCUGAAUGUUUAAACAAAGGUUUCAUGUGAUGAACAUAUACAUUGACUAAUUGUGUCGACCUUUCAAGAAACAUAUUCUUAUACUAUAGAGUUUUGGUUAAUAAGAGCUUCCUGUUAAAGAACUUCCUAUACAAGUAAAACAGAUGAAAAUUUCUUCUCUAGUUCUCCUUAAAUUGAACUGUAUGAAAAUUUUCAAAUUUAAGGAUUUGCAUAAUCAAGGUAUUAAUUGUUUAGGCAGCAGAUUUCUCUACACUAUAAGUUUUAUUAUGUCCCUAGUAAAGAAGACUUGAAAACAAAAGACUAAAUUUAUUAACUAGUUGUUGAAGAUUAAAUACAGUACUAAAUCUAAAGACACUCCUUAACUCUAGGAGCAAUACUAACAACCCACUAACAGCCCCUCAAUUAUAGCCAUGAUCAGAAAAAGAUUACAAAAGAUUAAACAAAUGAAAGACUUAGUCAAAUUAAUAAGUAGCUAAAAGAUAGCAGAAACUGCUGCUACAUACUGUUAGUGCUAAUACUGCUAAUACCUAGCACAAAAUUGUUCAGAAGAUGAAGGUUGAGCUUACUCCUGCGCUCUGGUGAGUUCUGCGAUUGAUGUUGUCAAAGCAUCUUACCCUGUGGGCUGAUUUAAGCUCAUUUGUAAAAUGAGCAACAACUCUACAGUAAAUUGUCAUUGAGGUAAAAUAAUGAUAUUCCCUUUAUAUUCUAUAGUUUCUUCUGUUUCCAUGUUCGACCUGCAUACUGAUUGUAAAACUUCUACCAAUUUUGAUUGCUCUAAGCUGAGACUUCAGGUCUCAUUUUAUGGUCCUACAUAAUGCUGCUACUGGUGAGAAUGGCUUUCUCUUUGCUUGCAGAAAGUAUUAAGUUUGUAUUAUUUGCUUUUAUGUAUAUAUAUGAUUGUAUGAUUUAAUCUGUUCUGAUCUUAUCUAGCUGGAAUGGAAGGUGCUUGAGAUCAUUUCAUCCAAGUGUUGCUGAUGGGGUGGAAUCUAAAUGUGUAUCCCUUGGUUUUAGAAACAAGGCUGAAUAUGAAGUAUGGACUACCUUGUAUGUGUUAUGAUUUUCUUUGUUCUAGGUCUAUUUCUAUUACUCUGCACCUUUUAGCAGGAAAUAGUAAAAUAUCAUAUAAUAUCUGUUGCAAGUUUUUGUUUUGAAUCAUUUCUGAAAAUUUUUCAUCCCCGAAAAUGGACAGAUUUCAUACUUCUGUUUCUUUCAUAUCAAAUAUUAUGAACCUUCAAGAUGCGUUUGGACAUGUGCAGGCAAUUCCCAUUUUUCAGUGUGAAAAUUGUAUCCAUAAGCAACAUCAGUGCUUUGCUUGUGGCAGAUUGGGAUCUUCUGCCAGAUUUUCUAGUCAAGAGGUAUGAUAUUCUUGUUCUCUUAGACAAUGUUUGUAAUCUCAUUCAAAUAUUUGCACUUCUUUCCCUUUGAGCAUUACAACUUUUACGGUUUCAUUGAGUUUGGCUAUUAUUAUUCCCCUUUUACCAUUGACAACUUUAAGCGUCUCAAUGAAUCAGGAUAGUACAUGGAGAAAAAAAAAUUGUAUAUUGAGACUUUGGGUAAAUCAUGUCAAAGCUGAUUGUUCUUAUUGUUCCAGAGCAAAUUCAAAGGUAAAAACACUUGUACAUUUCGCUAUCCAUCCAGUGAAUGCAGAACUUUUCUUCACAUUCUGAUAUUUUGUGGUGGUUUAUCAGACUCGAUGAAAAGGCCCCGUACAAGUUGAUUUGGGAGGAUCACAUGCUACUUUCAGGCAAGGGUACAUGGCAAUUCACUGGCUCGUUUUCUGGUCCUACUCAUUUCAUCGAAAAAGACGAAUCUCUGAAGUGACAGAUGAUCUUUUUCUUUUUUUCUCUUUACAGUCAUCUCCCUGGCUCCAUUGAUGUGAAUGACAAGCAGAUUGAGCAAAGGAACAGCAAGCCACCUCCUUUGUAUCUCUGGAGCCGUUUGGAUUGGAUUGCCAAGCACAUGGCAAUAGCACGGCAAUGCGGCCAUAUGUCUAAUCAACAUGAAGUUUCUGUUAUGGAGUAGAAUAAAUACAUAUAUCUGUGUCUCUCUUGGUGGGUGUUUUAAAAACUUGUGUAUUACCUAACUGAAUUACAGAGCAGAAUACCAGCUUUUUUUAUAGCAGUCCACCACCCGCUCUUUAUCCCUCCAUGUCCUUAUGCUGUUUCAAUGUCCUUGUUGAAUCAUGUCACAGUAAAAACAAUGAAUUAAUUUGUCUCAAGUUUCAUUUUCUUACAUUAGUUUCUAUCUUGAUAUUUGAUCCGGCAUAUUUUUGAGCUCAAAUGGCUGUUCAGUAUUAUUCUACUGUUUAUUCAAUCAAAUAUGAUGAAAUUAUCGACAUAAUAAGUUAUUAAUAGUUUUGCAUUUGCAUGUAGGUGUGCUGCUCUAAGCUUGGCCCGGUAAAAAAAUUCAUUUGAAAUUAUUCAUUAAAUUAAUCCAGCCGAGUUUGACUUUGAUAACUUUAUUGAAUCGAUUUUGAACUUAAUAAAAUUUUAUUUGUUAAUUCGCAUGGUUGUUUAUUUAUUGGCUCCCGAUCACAUUUAUGAGUUCAAGUUCAAAUUUAUUUUAUUUUUAAAUUUAAAAUUAUAUAUGAUUAUAAUAUACAUAUAUAGUUAUAUAUAAUAAUAAUAAUGAUUAAUAUUAAAAAUAUUUAACGAGCUCGAAUUCAAAUUGAAAUUAUUUUUAUUAUAUAAUCAUUUAAUGAAUUGAACUUGAAUUUAACUUCUUUUAAUAUAAUAAUAAUAAUAAUAAGCUAUUCAUAGUCAAUUUCGAAUUUUUUCUAGAUUAAAUUGUUAAAGCUUGGUUCAACUCGGCUCAAUUAUAGCUCCACUCACAAGCUUAAUCCAUCACUACAACUCAAAAUAAAAAUUAUGAGUAUUUUUUAUUUAAUAAUUAUGUUGUCAUCUAAAAAGUCUGGCUGAUUUAUAUCAAACAUUUACUUUUGGUUAAUCAUUUUUAGGAAAUCUUAAAUAAAGAUAGUUAGAAUAAUUUUGUAAAAUUAUAUUGAUAAAUUUAUUUCAAGUUAUUCAUUUUUUCUGUUAGCUAAAUAAGUGUUCAGAAUGCUCAUUAAAAAAGAGUUUCUAUUUAACAAACCAUUAUAGUCAUCUCCAAGUUGUCUUAUAGCAUAUCCAAGAGUCCUUUAGGAAUAAAAGUCAAUUUGGUCCUUCAACUUUUUUUAAAAGGUCAAUUCAUCUUUCUUUCAUCUUUAAAGUCAGAUAAGUACAAAACUUAAAAUCAUUAGACCACUUGUUAUUCAGUUUUUUUUUUUUUUUUUAGAGUAAAAGCUAUUUAGUCCUCGAGCUUUUUGAAAGGGCCAAUUUACCCCUUAUUGUUUAAGAGAAGUCAUUUCUUCCUAAAAUGUAAUUAAAAGUUAUUUUUACUUUUAAUGGUACAAUUCCUCACCUUACUUCAUAGCUUUUAACAUAGGUAAGUAAGAGAAUUCUAACCAACAUGCAAAAACCAAGUGCUGUAAAAAAAAAGAAAAAAAGGUCUAAAAGUAAAGAAUCUACUAUUUACAGUUCCAUUACUUAUUAGGAAAGAGAAAAUUAAGUCAAGUUUAUAAGUGCAUGCCCAUAGUGAGUAUUUAAUAUUUAAAACAAAAUGUCAUUUAAAUAGGAACAUCAUGUUUUAUUUUAGCUUAAAUUGAGAAUCCAAUUAAUUACACAUGAUUAAAAUAAAAUUAAAGUUUAAUGGAAAUUCUAAAUUACAAUUGAAUUAAGUAAUCAGUUUAUUUAGUAAUCUUAUUUUACCAUUUAACUGAGAUAUUAAACUCAAAUGCUCAUAUAUAUAUUCUAAUGUGACUUUAUUGUUUCCAAGAGCAAAACUGAAGGGGAAAAAGGCAAACCCAAGAGAUCACUGAACAUUACUAAUGCAGCAAAUGCCAGAAAAACACCUUUUAAUUAGGAAAAGCAAGCCCAAUUUUUCUUUGAAGAAAUAAAAUAAAAUAAAAAAUCCUGUAGAGCAUCAAAUGUUCAGAAACCAAAAUUGCAGGGCAGUAAAAAGCCAGUGAAGCCCUGACCUUGCAUUCUUAAUUUAAUUCCACAUGUUACCACAAUCCAUAAUUUACAUUUAAACCACCUAUUACAUCCUUUUUAAACAAAGGCACUCUUUACUGGGUCUCUCUCUGUGUGUGUCUCUCUCUUUCCACAGAUAAAACAGCAUAACUUAAAAACAUUCUUACUCCAUAGUGGGCAAAAGCAAGCCCCUCUUUGGAUCAUGUCUUAUAGGUCACAGCUUCUGAUCAAAUUUUUUUAUGGACAACUGCUAUUUGUCAUCCAUUUUGAUUGAGUUUAGUCUUCUCAAUCUUUGAUCAAGUUCUGCCAUUACUGCUGGUUCCUGCUUUUUCCUUUGCUUUGAUAUAGUGUUUGUUGUCAUUGAGCCUACUUUAUCAAAUGCCACCUGCAAGAUUUAUUUAUUGAGGAGUUUAAAUAUAAUACACUUGUGGUAGUAAGAGAAAAACUUUCAUUUUCAUUGUCAAUAUAUGGAUGCCACCUUGCCACCAAGUCAGAAACUAUACAAUUGGGAAAUUGACAAACAAAAUACCAGAGGGCACAAGAGGGUGGAAAAAGAUCUACAGUCCACAUCUAAAGGAUGUCUGCAGACAAUAAAUGGAAGGAUAAUAACCUCUUUUUGCUUCUCAGAAAGUUCAUGUGCAUAGCUUGAGCAACUAAUAUGCUCAAUCAAUCAAUUUUUUUGCAUACACAGACAGUAAGGCCUUUGUUAUUGUCAAUAAAAUUAUGAUUUUUUUAGCUCUAUCAUCCACUAAAAAGUCUCUUUACAUAACGUCCACCUCAAGAAUUUUCCUUAUUAAUCCACUCUAAAAUGGAGAAGAGGAAGCGUCAUGAAAUCAAAGGAGCACCAAGAAGUUGUCUUACCGUCAAUAGUUCGUCUGGAUCAAAGAGGUGAUGAGUUGUUUUCUGUAAUAUGUUAAUAACAUCACCGACAUGAUGAGUUAGAAGCAGUUCUUCUUCCUUCAUCUGCAAUUGAAGAUAAUAACUCAAUCAUUUUCUUUUCUAAUUAUUCUUAUUACAAAAUAUAGAUAGAAGCUUGCUUGCUUGAUUUUAAAAAUUUAUUCAAUAUAAAGAGCUUAGCAGCAAUAGCACUGGCACCUUAAAUAUAGCCAAAGCUACAUGGAACAGAACCUUUGCCCCCUCAAAGAAAAGGACAUCCCAGACUCGCAAAGUUGUCUGGAAAGUGACCAAAGGGAAGAAUUGUUAAUCAUCAUCAAAAGAAAAGCUGAAAAUGUCAAGGAAAAGUUCAGUAUGUGUGGUCUUUUCUCAGCAAGAUGCUCGCACACAGAUUGGGACAAAUGCUGUUCUAACCUCUGAAGGCAAGCUCUUUGAGAAUAGGCAUAGGAACCACUCGGUCGCAACAAGGGACACAUCAAACUCCAAUUCCUCCAAAUGCACAGCUAUCCUGCAUUUUUCUUCUCCAGUUUAAACAAAUAACAACUAAUUGACUAAAGCCAUGUUCAAGUCACUGAAGGAAAAUACCUUGGGCACUGCUUAGGAAGCAAAUCUUUGAAAACCCUUUGUUCUACAUGGCAUCCAGACAAGUUAUUUGUGUAGCAGUCAUUAACUAAGACAUUUUCUAGGAGGACGGCAAGCAUCCAGAAAGCAUCUUCCUCUGUUUUCAUCACAAGCAACAGUAGAGCUGCAACAUAAUUUAAACCCUGUAUGAAGUAUAUUCAGUACUCAUUACAAAAUAGAGUAACUCUAUAAAGAAUAAUUAUAAUAAUAUCAUUAAGUAGAGUAACUCGUAGUUUAUUAGGAAUAACUGAAGAACCUAAGAGAGUAUGCCAUGACAUGCUCCUAAAUGAAUUUGGUAACCAUGUAGAUACCUAAUGAAGGACUUAGAAGUAGGGACCAACUUUUAAUCCUUGAACACAAAGAUGCAGGAGAAGAUGUGACCGAUAAGAAACACACAAUCAAACAAUGAUUCUAAUGAGUAAAUGCAAAUUCAGCCAAUGGGAAUCGAACAAUUCAAAGUUUUACAAAGUGACCAUGAUCUAAAUCAAUUAAAUCAUGUGAUGCAGCAAAAUUCAGCAGCAAGAUUUUUGCUUAUACAUAAAACUGUCAACAAGAUUCAUCCUGCUUUGUUGCCAAAAUAAUGGGGCAGAAUCACCAAGAUUUGUGCUAUUCUUCAGCAGGAAUUGAAUGGAAUGUGUAUAAUAAGAAACACAAUGUAAUAGCUUUUUUGUUCCUAUAUUUGGUUGUAGUAAAUAAAUAACGACAUUUAUUCCCAUAUUUAGGUUACUUGUCACAGUGAGAAUGACUUGCUGAUUCUGCAACAAGAUGGUGAUGGUGGAUCCAGAUGCUGGUGGUGGGCAGGUGGUGGUGUUGGCAGCAGUGGAGGCAAUUGCCACUGACCGGUAUUAACAGAAAGAAAAACUUGUGAUUAUAAUUACAUGUACUUUUGCAUAUAUUGGACAUUAAUGUUAUUUAGAGCAUUUAUGGUUACAUGACAUUAGAUUUCUGUUAUGCAACUAAAACAAAGUAAUGAGCCAUGUACUACAAUUGAGAUUAUAUCACAUCUUUGAUUAAGUUCUGGCAACCCACCUGGCAAUAGCCCACAUCAGAAUCACGGAAAGAAUACCCAACAAGAACACGUCGGAGAGCAGCAUGACCCUCUGGUGUGUCCAACCAUGGGUGACCAGGAAAGGUCCGUGGCAGAUCCUGUAAUUAUAUACAAAGUAAGUAUUAACAAAGUCAAAGUAAUUUGAUGCAAAAUCGAGAAACAUAAAAGGAAGGCCUGGUAAGAAUUAGAAAGAAAGGGAAAUAAAAUUAUAGAUAGAACCAGGUAACAUAGAGAAACAGGAAAACAUAAAGAGUGCAUCAAAAUACAUAAAGAAAUAACUAAAUACCCUAUGCACAAAAAUCUACAUCAAACAAUUCCUUGAACUUACAAUUCUAGUUGAUCACCAGAAUUCUCUAGCAUGUUUUCUUUCAGAAUUACAGAAAUCUUAGGUACAUUGACGAAUACACCAUAUAAAAAUUUUGACUUCUUGUUAUUCUUUUAUUUUUCAAGGAUGUUCAUUAACUACAUGCAGAUUCAGGUGCAUACACCCAGCCAAUUCUGCUUGAUCUUUCAUCCUAUCAUAAGCAUUCACCUUUAUCAUAAACAACUUUUGGACGUAACCGACUUCUAAAUCUAUUCACAAACACAAAGAAAGACAAACUCUCAAAAUAAUCUCUAAAUAAUGCCAAUAUCAAAUUCUAUAGGCUCUCAUAGAUGCAAAGGACUUAUAAAAUUUCGUCUAGAAUGAACUUAAUAGCUAACAAAUCCAAACACGGGCAAAUCCCAUCUUCCUAAAUGAACUAUAGCCCCUUAAUAAAGCUAUAAAUCUUAAAGUUGAGCCAGAAUAAACCAACAAUUUUCGGAUCAUGAUCACUGCAAUUGAAACUAAUGCACUAGCAUAUGAUACAUCAAGCUCGUAUCACCAUCAAAUUUAAGCCAUAACUAGCCAAUCAAAGUUAUAUAGAUUGUAUCACAACAUAACACCACGGAUCAUCAGUGAUCAUCCAAAUUAUACAGAAUCAACUAGUGCAGCAUGAUGUAUAAAAGAAUCCAAAUGCAGACACUCACGUGAUCAAUUUGCUUCGUAGCUGCUGUAAUCUUUCCUUCAACAGCCUUGGUUAAAUCAUUAUAGUAGCUCUCAGGCACAGUAGACUUCUUCUUUGCAGCUCCAGAGAGAGAAAACCAGACCUUAGGCCUCAGAACAGGAGGUAUACCUUUCCUUAUAAGCCUCUUCAAAGUGAUUGCAUUAGCUAAAGUAGACAAUUUAAGAGAGGAUUUCAAGGCAAUCCCUUCAGCUAUAGAAGUAACUUGUGGUUGCAAAUACCAAUUAGCACCUUUGCUAGCCUCUAAUGCCCACCAGACCCUCCCUUGUUGUCUAACCUUCUCCCUAACCUCAUUCAAUAUAUUGACAUCAUCCACAUUGCCUUCCACAGUAAAUCCAUAAAGGUCUUGAAAUUUCACUGUUAAAUUUGCCCUUCUUGAAUGGAUGCUUGGCCUCAAAAUUGGAAUUUGAGGCUGAAAAUCUAAAGACACUUCUCUUUUGGUAUGUGUUUUAUACAUAUCUAGGAUUCUUUUUUGUUUUGUAGUUCUCUUGUGAUAGAUCAAGAGAUGAAGAUAAAGAGAGAAUGGGAAAUAAAAAAGAAAGACUCUUUCUUUUUGUUGUCAAAAAAGAGAAGGCAACAGGCUUGGAAUUGGAAACAUGUGAAAGGGUCAAUUUUUUGCAGCUUAAAAGCUUGGAAUUGAAUUAAACCUCAAAUGGGUAAUUAGUAUUUGACAAAACAAGACUCUUAAACAAGAUUUAUGAAAAAACCAAAAGAGAAACAAAAUUUACAUUUGGAACUAACUAGAAAUACCCUUUAACGCCAUUCAUUUAAAAGACAGUUACAUGCUUAGGAACAUAUCCUAGAAAAAUAAGAACACAAAAAAUCAAUAAUUCACAAUAAAGCUUUUACCUUUUCAAGUGGGCUCUUCAAACUUAUAAAUAAAUAAACAAUGAAACAACACUAGAAGAAAGACCCAGAAAAGGAAAAGUUAUGUUAGAAAGGUACAAGAAACAAAAUGAAAAGUAAAACCCAGAAAAAAAAAAUUUCUGGGUAAUGCCUAUACACAGAGGGAGAGAGAAAGCUGAUGAUGAAAUUUUAGAUUCUUUGUCAAUCUAGAGAAAGAGAAAAUCUUUGAAGAAAAAUGGAUGAUUUUGGACAGAAAGAAGACCCGAAUUUUGAGGGAGAGAUUUUUAUGUAAGAGCUUAAUAAUAAUAAUAAGCUUGAAAAAUUGUGGAGGACUCGACGGGGAAAUAGGUGUGUCUUGAGUUAGACUUCUCUGGUUGAGAAAAGAAGACAAAUGUAAUGAAGUGGCAAAACUUCUUCUUUCCAGGGACCAGACUGCAAAUGUUGUCUAGUUUAAGGGACCUAACUUGUAAUUUUAUUUUGAAUAUCAUAUGGAAUAGAAGUGGAUAAUAAUGAGAGACGUUGGUAAUAUAAGAGAUGGGAGAGAGAGAGAGAGAA
rnacentral:lncRNA from 1 species